UGAUCUUUAUUUUUAUUUUAGAAAAGGAUAGGAUAGUGAUCUGGAUUGAGUAAUGUUGAUAUGCAUCUUACCUGUGGGACAAAUGAUCAAAUCGAAUUGCAGUUUUAGUGCAUGUUAAAAUUGGGACUUGUGGUUUCAGUUCAGUUUGGUCAGAUUUAUCUGCUGCCAUGCUCGUGUAUUUGUGUUCAAUUAUUUCCUGGAUGGCCGUGGCUAUCUAUCUUAUUCUUAGGACUUAGCUUUAUCAAUUAGGGGUAAUCAAUGUAUUAGUGUAAUCAUGUUUAUCUGCAUAUGAUCUGUGGCAUGUGGAACAAUCGAAUUGCAGCACUGCAUGUCAAAAUUGAGACUUUGCACAUGCUACUGCUACUACUAUAUUUCAAUCAUGUUGUGCGAAUGUCAUUCGUCUGAUCCUAGCUAGGAUGGCUAUUGAUAUUCCGCAUGGCGUAAUAGUAUUCUGUUCGGGCCACAUUGAUCGAUUUAUAGCCAGCAAGCAGAGCAACUCAUUACAUCCUACAUGCCUGUUGUUGAUUAUCCCAUGCAUUGUUGAUUAGUCGUUUAAUUAAUUUUUUUAGUCUCGGAAAAAUAGUCUUUUAUUUCAUCUACGCUCUCUAGUUAGUUCAUCUAGGCAGACUUAUGGUUUUAAGUUCAGUUCGGUCAGAUUAGUUUGCUGCUGCUAGUAUGUACGCGUGGUUAACUUUUGGAUGGCUACAACUAUCUAGAGUAAUGUUGAUCUACUUGUGAUGCUGCUGCUAUACUACUUGGGAAUUUUGUCAACUUGUGAUGUUGCUGAUGUACCCCGAGAGGCCCUUGAGUUUGCCGGAAUGUCGAUUAACUUCCGUUCCAGCAAAUUCGGGUACUCCAUAUGUCCUAUUUUCAGCAAAGGUCGUGCUGAAAUUUUCCGUGAAUUUUAGCAUGACUUUACUAAAAAUAGGACAUAUGGGGUACUUGCGACUAAUGCAUGGGUCGGGGUAUCUUAGUACUUAAUUAAGUAGGAUCAACUGCCCCUUUAUUCUUGCUGCAUUAAACCAUAGGUGGCAAUAGAGCCAAGUGAUUAGGCCCAACUUAGAAUUCUCCUUCCCUUUUCUUGAUAGGGUAUAUUAUUAGAAGAUACCCAUAUAUAUCAGUCAACCUAGGGUGCCUCGGCAUCGAUAAACCCUAAAUGAUGAAAACUUAACUUAGCAUUUACGGUGCCUCAGCGUCGAAAAACCCCAAAUGAUAAAACCUUGGCUUUUAGGGUGCCUCGGUGUUGAUAAAAACCUAAAUGAUGAGAGCUUAGGCUUUUAGGGUGCCUCGGCGUCGACAAACCCUAAAUGAUAAAAGCUUAGCUUUUAGGAUGCCUCGGUGUCGACAAACCCUAAAUGAUGAGACCAUGAUCUCGUUCCUUGACAAUAACCAAGUUUUUGACCAAACUUUUUUCCUAUUUAGAGCGAAACAUGGCCCACAACGAUGAGGCCGGCGGUUCGGGCAAGGCAUUCUGGGAGUUAUCCCAGGAGAUGGAGGAAGAACCUCACCGCUAUGAGGACGCGCGGAAGACACCGAUCCUGACUACACAACCCCUAGUGGCGUCGGGGAUGACACCACUGAUGGUGCCGCCGAGGAUGCCACCACUGAUGAUGGCAGCGCACGCACAGAUGGCAGCCAACCGAAGAGGCAACGGAAGGACCGGCGCCCGAACAUGCUCAGCACCAUCAAGGAGGAAUUUACUGAAGUGUCCUCCGAGGGGCAUCCAACAGCGCCCCUAGAAAUAGUCAAGGGGUACGCGGGAUAGCUCAUGUGCAUUCUCCGGAGCACCGUCUCGAUCAACGCCGAGAACCUAAGGCAUCGUGACUGAGAGAAUUUGCACAACCUCCUCUUCACGAAGCUGCACGAAUGAUACAAGUUCUCCGGUGACUUCGCAAACACAAGCCUUGUAGGGAAUAAAGUGAACAGUGCCGCCCUCACGAAGAUGAGCAUGGCCCUGGCUACUUGGAGAGCCGCGGUGAAGAGAAUGAUUCAAAAAGGUGAUAGUUAUGAGAAGAACAAGGAGAAACAUCCUUCGAUCAGUGAAGAUGACUACCUGGAGUUCAAGAUCAAGUGCGAGAGCGACGCAACCAUGGAAUCAAGUCAGUGGGGGAAAGAGAUGCGGGACUUGAACUUAGGGGUCCACAAACUCGGUCCCGACGGUUACAAAGUGGCGGAACCUAUAUGGGACAAGGAGGACGCGGAGCGUGCCGAGCAAGGCCUACCGCCCCUCUUUGAGAAAUACCGUGACAAGCAGACCAAGAACUAUGUCAGGGCCCGGUACAAGGUGGACCCGGUAACCAAGGAGCUUACCACGGAUCCAAGGACCAAGGCGCUUGAGCAUGUUCUGGUAAGGAAUACACCCCCGCGUAAUUAGCUCCAUAUGGUUGCAUUCUAAUUAAUGAAGCCAAUUUUCUAAAUGGUUCACGCUACUUCCGCAAGACACUGAAAACAGUAGCGCGGUGUCGUCUCAGAGCUCCCCUUUUGACACCCUUUAAAUAGGGCGUUGAACGUAAUGAAAAACAAGGAUAAGCUCAGUAAGCCGUCGUCAGCUGGUCGUGUGGCCGGCAAAGGCUUAUCCAUGAAAUGGUCGGAGUACUAUACCGCUGGGCGAAAGGAGAGAAAGAUCAGCUCGGAAAGCCAGGAGCGCGAGGUUCAACAACUCAAGGCACAAGUGGCGCGGAUUCCGGAGAUCAUCGAAGAGCAAGUGCGAGACCAACUAGGAGCGAUGAUCACCGCCAUUAUGCCUACCUUGGUUUCUGGACUGCAUGCAUGGAUUGUGGGCGGCCAACACGGUCCGCCCCCGAUUCCCAGCUUCACGGGCAGCAACUCGCGCAAUGCGCCGGCGGCGCCAUUGGUGUCUCUAGAGGAGGUGGCAUUGGUGUCUCCCGCGGCGGCGCCGGCAUUGCAUCAUAAUACACCCGGGUGUGGGAAGAAUAUGCCGAUCGGCACCUCGGUAGCAAGCGGCCCCUCCGUCACUUGCACGCCCGCCGUUGGCGGUACCUCGACAUUAGCCGAGCUCAACACCAUCACGGUAACUAAUUAAGCCUCUCGGCCGAUGACUUCAUCUCCUUGCCUUUGACUGGGCAUCCCUGACGCCCUACAUGUUUUCGCAGGGUGCCGCCGACGUUCCAUGCACUCUCCUGCACUUCGUGAACUACAAGUUCGUCGAUGUCGCCAAGGGCAGAAUCGUUCAAUCGGGCAGCCGCAUGUUCCACGGUAAUCAGAUGCCACCCACCGUUUAUAGGGUUCAACUGGUUCGGGUGCUGCCGGGCUUCGACGACAUGUUACCUCCGUAUCGACCCCAUGGGGCCGACGAAGAUGAUGUGAUGACCCUCAGCACCUACAUAAGCUGGCCCAUGCUUUGGUCGAAGAUCUAGAUUCGUUUGGGGGCGGGGGACACCACCCCACAGACAACACCGCCAGUCGUGCCGGCGCCAAGCCAUGGCAAGACCCCCGCAACGCUACCGGACAUGCUGGGCAUGGAUAUGGCACAGGAUCCAGACAUGCAUAUGGCACAGGAUCUGGACGACGACGACAACAACAAUGACGGUACAUUUACCAACGUCGAUAAGUACUUCAACGAACAUGGGUACGGUGACGAAUUCUUGGGGCCUCCUUCUCAGGAAUCCAACCCUGCAAAAGACGAUCUAGCUGGUACCGCGGAGAAACCCAGUUGCAACAGGCAUCGUCUAGCAUUCAGUUCUUAGGAGACGCCUCCAGCUGCUGCCUUCACCGAGCCUCAGAUAGCCGAGGUGCAAAAUAUUAUCAGCCCCAACACACUCAAGAAGGUUGUCUGUGAGCAGAACUCGAUCCCAUUACAGAAGAAGAAGAAGGGACGGAAAAGAAAUAGUAACAAGGGUGCGAGCCAGCCGGCACCGAGUACGAUCUGUGCUCAGGACGGGCCACCUUCACCUAAGGAUAUCUCGAGGAGGGUGCAUGUGGCGGGUAGGUCGAUGCUACCGACUAAUCUGCUCAAUGCUGCAACCGCUGCUAUGCGGAGUCCGCAUGACAGUGUUCUUUCUUUGGAGAAGCGGCGUCUCCGAGGGAAUGAUGUGGCAUACCCGGUUUUCGUGGCCAAGGUUCCAGAGGGCAAGGGCUUUGUGGAUAGCGCCAUCGGGGGUAUGAUCGUCCUGCGGUUUGAUGACAUCUUUGCUAUGUUUAACCUUCAUCUGUUGCACUACACCUUCGUUCGGCUAUUUUCGCUGAGUAUGGAGAUGAGGAUCAUUAGAGACAAGACCCGGACAUCGUGAUAGUCGACCACUUCUACAUGCGUGCCAAGAUCUUGGGCAGCGCUGGGGACCGGCAAGUCGCGAGUUCAUACCUCGAAGGCGUCAUUCCGGCAAACCCAGAUAAGGAUAACUUCCUCGUGCCUUACUUUCCCGAGUAAGUCAUCCCCUUACCGCCCCGUAACAUAUGAUUUCUUAGAUUUCGACCGUUCUUUUUUUCUAACAUUCCAUGUUUUGUGCAGUGACACACAUUGCACACUCAUCCUCUUAAGCCCAAAAUAUUCCAUGGCCACGUAUUCCGACUUGGACCAUCAGUCGAAGAAAGACUACACAAAUAUCAAGAAAGUUCUUGAUGAUUUUCUCCCCGGCUACGCCAGAUCUGGAGGCACCUUCAACAGGCCAAUUCGUAGGUAUGGAAAGCACGUGUUCGCCCACAAUACGACGUUCCCCUACGUCAAGCAGCCUCCUGGCGGUCAGAAGGAUGCCUACUAUGCCCUCCAUCACAUGCGGGCGAUCGUACGGGACCAUAAUCACCUUCUGCUACCAAAUAAUCUCAAAGAUUGGGCCAGAAGCUUGUCGGCAAUCCAGGACGCGGACAUCAGACAAGAAUUCUUUCGCAUCCAGUCAGAGUUUGCGGAAAUCAUCCAUCAAGAUGUCCUUCGUACCUCGGGGCAGUUCUAUCUCAGAUAUCAACUGUCCAAUAGUGAGAUAGAAACAAUUCUACAAAUGCAGGCUGACAACGCCCGCGAUUUCAUGACCAUCAUGAUAGACGACGGCUUCAUCCAUGCUCCGGUCCCUGAGUGAGUCGAAAGUAGUGAUGCUAUGUGUAGUUCUGAAAUAUCGAUUAACUCAUGUUGUAAUUAAACUUUAAUGAACUUGUAUGUCUCUUUGGUUUGGAUAGUCGUUCAACUUAUAUGUAGUCGAUGCUAUUUAUUAGUAGGACCAUGAAUCGUGCUAUUGAUGUCUUGCUUUUCUCUUUCGAUCCUUUUGUUGCAUACUUAUAUAUUGCUUAUGUAUUGUCUAUGAAUUGCUACUAACGUUUUGUUUGGCUAGUGCAUAGAGAUGUCGUCAUAUGUCAUGUACAAGGGUAAGGUUCCCGGAGUCUACGACGACUGGGAGGAGUGUCGGAGACAAGUUCACCGUUUCAGCGGUAACAGUUACAAAGGGUACACCACUAGGGCGGAGGCGAAAGCUAGAUACACGAGCUAUCUAGAGGGAGAGAGGAGGGAGCGGAGGAGGAACCGGAUGAAGACCAGUUUCAUCGUGAUGAUGCUCAUCAUCAUGAUGACAAACUCGCUACUCGCGGUCUCGAGACUUGUAAUGUUCUAACUUUGUUUGGUCUUUUGAAUUCGGAGACUAAUAUGAUGAAUUGUAUUCGGAGACUAAUCUUCUAUUGUUAUUCGAUGAUCUGUUGUUUAUAUGUUGUGCUGUCUAUAUUCUGUCCAGUAAUAUAUUUUGUAACCUGUGCAAAUAUCAGAAAAGAAAAAAAAUCCUAAUAUUCAUACUAGUGGCGCACCACACUGCACUUUAGUGGCGCACUGCAAUAAACACACUAGUGGCACACUACCUAGAAGUGCGCCAUUAGUAACCCAGAGCACAAGGUAAAUAUGACCCCUUGGGAGGCAUAGUAAUGGCACACCAUUUGACAUACUAAUGGUGCACUCCCUGGUGCGCCACUAUUGUCUGGUAUACUAAUGGCGCACCAGGGAUGCGCCAUUAGUACUAGUUACUAGUGGCGUGAUGACAGUGGCGCACCUGUAGUGAGUCAUUAAUGGCCAAAACAAGUGCGCCACUAAUUAGCCUUUUCCUACUAGUCAGUGGAGGGAGCAAGUAAUCAGUGAGUACUCCUUCAGAAAGCCCUCGUAAAGGUCACUUUGGGUGGGCUGGGAGCACGCCACUUGGCGCGCUCUCAGCCGUCGCCACGCUCAGGGCGCUUCCUUCGAAUUUUAUUUUUAUUUUUCUGUACGCAUUUUUGGCUUUUAGAUUUUUUGGGGGUUUUUCUACUUUUUGGUUUCCCUUGGUUUUCUUAGGUUUUGGAAAAAAAUGCACGAAAAAACUUGUUUUCCUUUCCGUGAGAGGUACAAAUUUACUUCUCGUGUAAGUACAGAUUUGCUUCCACAAGAGGCAUAGUUGUGCCUCUUGAGAAAGCAAAAAUAAAAAGCGCGUUUUUUUCCUUUCACAAGAGACACGGAUUUACUUCUCGUGUAGGCGCGGAUUUGCUUCCGCGGGAGGCAUAGUCGUGCCUCUCAAAAAAGGAAAAAAAAUCACAUUUUCUUUUUUCCUUCUGAGUGACAUGGAUUUACUUCUCAUGGAGGCACGGAUUUGCUUCUACGGGAAUCACAUUCGCGCCUCUCGAAAAAAUAAAAAAAAUCCUCCCGAGAGAGGCACGUAUUCGCUUCUUGUGGAGGCACGAAUUUGCUUUCGCAAGAGGCAGAAUCGUGCCUCUUCAGAAAGAGAAAAAAUGCUUCUGGUUCAGUUUUUUCCUAAAAAAAUGUUAGCUGAAACCUAUCAACAUGUGAUCUAGUUUAGAAAUCUCGACGACAGGAAUCCAACGAUGAAAGCGGUUUGACAUUUGGACGCACAAUUUAAGAGACAACAUUUUAAAUAAAUGAAUCUACAGAAAAGAGAAAACUCCCAGGUUACGACAAGUGGUGCACAUGCAAUGCCCCACAUGUCGCAACCUGGGAAGGUGGGAGGAACCUUUGCAAAGAGUACUCUUACCCACUUACCAUGGAGGGCAUGGUUGUGUUGAUGACAAAUAGAGGGGCUCAAAACACGUUCGGCAACAUUUGACAAGCCAAAUUAGCCCGGCCCGGCUAUAGAUGCCCUUAAUAAGAGCGAGGCUUAACCACCUGGUCGUCGUGUAUGGUUUGAUCAAUCACAUGACCCAAAUUGCAACCCACUAUUUGUGGUCUUUUAUUAAUAUAAAUUUUGGUCUUUUUGUUUAAGUUGGGCUUCUCGAAGAGAUGGGUAAACACGGUUAUGCAUCUUGUAAGCUCUGUGUCCUUUUCGGUUUUGCUUAAUGGAAAGAAGUUGGAAGAAUUUAAACUGAGUAGAGGUAUUCGGCAGGGAUAUCCAAUCUCCCCUUACCUAUUUUUUGUUAGCAGCAGAGGGCCUUUCGUGCCUCUUGAAGAAUGUGAAUCAGUCAUCUCAAAUGGGUGGGAUACAGGUGGCCCCUUCGGCACCGGCAGUUAAUUACCUUUUGUUUGCAGAUGAUAGCCUGCUGUUUUUCAAAGCUAAUGGUGGAGGGGCGACGAAGGUGUCAAACUGGGUGGAAACUUACUGUCAAGCAUCGGGUCAGAGAAUUAACCCAACGAAAUCUACUAUAUUUUUUAGCAAUGGUUGUCCAGCAAGUGUGAAAGAGGAGGUUAAAACAAUAUUGAAUGUCCCAAAUGAAACUCUAAAUGACAAGUAUCUUGGGAUGCCUACUGACGUAGGUGCUUCUAAGAAUGGGGCUUUCAAAUAUCUAAAGGACAGAUUGUGGAGUAAAGUGAAAGGGUGGAUAGAGAAAACUAUUUCUUUUGCGGGGAAGGAGGUCUUGGUGAAGUCAGUUGCACGCAGUGCCGGUAUACUCAAUGUCAUGUUUUAAACUCCCUAGAGGCUUGUGUGAGCACCUGAACAAACUCAUACGCCAAUUUUGGUGGGGAAGCAAGGAGGGGAAGAGAAAACCCAACAGAGUAUCUUGGUACACAAUGACACAACCGAAGUUUAUGGGAGGACUAGGAUUCCGGGAUUUUGAGUUAUUUAACCUGGCUCUCUUGGCAUGUCAGGCAUGGCGCCUGUUGCAGCAGUCGGACUCGCUUUGUGCCCGUAUUCUGAAAGCUAUAUAUUUUCUAGACUCCAACAUACUUUCAGCUGAACUUGGGGGAUGCCCCUCCCAGGUAUGGAGGGCAAUCUUGGAAGGUCGUGAUGUCUUGCUCCAGGGUCUGUUAAGGAGAGUCGGUGAUGGUGAUACUACUCGGAUAUGGCAAGAUAAUUGGAUCCCUAGAAACGGGACAAUGAGGCCGAUAGCUUGUCUUUCGACCAAUCCACCGCAGCUAGUGAGGGACUUGAUAGAUAGUACAAAUGCUUGAUGGAGGAGGGACAUGGUGGAACAGAUUUUUAUUGCUGCUAAUUCAAACAUAAUUCUAGGGAUCCCUUUGAGCACAAGAAGAAUGGCCGAUUUCUGGGCUUGGAGUCAUGAGAAGAAUGGUGCCUUUUUUGUACGCUCUACAUAUCGGAUGCUAGUGGAUACAAAGAGGAGAAUGGAAGACUGACUUGAAGUAAGGGCGGGAAGCUCAAACUAUGAGGCGGAAGAGAAAUCAUGGAAAUCGUUGUGGUUAGUGAAGGUACCAGGAAAAAUUAGAAAUUUCCUCUGGAGACUUGCAAAACACUCAAUCCCAACAGAAGAUGUGAGACUUCACAGGAAUAUGGCGACCACAGAUCAAUGCCAGAUAUGUGGGGUGCAGGACUCAUGGCGCCAUUCCCUACUGGAAUGCACUAUGCCUUGCUGUGUGUGGGCUCUUACAGAUGAUGACAUAUCGUCCAUUUACAGGCUACAACAAAAGGGAAUGCUAAGAGAUGGAUUUUUUUUCAUUGAUAGAAGUUAUGUCGCAUGCACACUUAAUCAAAAUUGUUGUCAUGUUGUGGGUGAUUUGGUCGGCGCGCCGCAAAGCAAUACAUGAAGGGAUUCUUCAGAGUCCUCGCGCCACCAACUCCUUCAUUACCAGUUUUAUUGCGGAGCUUGAAGCCAUUAACGAAACAAAUCAGCAACAGCCUCGUCAAGGGAUUGUGGCAUCAAGGAGUGCAGAUGCGAGGUAUAAAUGGAGGGCACCAGCUCGUGGCAUGGCAAACAUUCACGUUGAUGGGGUUCUGGCGAGAGUUGGGAAUGGGGGAUCAUCAGCAGCAGUGUGUCGGCACCAGGAUGGCACCUACCUAGGCUCUUCGGAGUUGGUUUUCAGCGAUAUUCACGACCCGGCGACACUAGAAGUUCUCGCAUGCAUGCAGGAAGCUAUGGCACUUGCGCAAGACCUCUCGUUAAGGAGAAUCGUUAUUGCUUGUGAUUGCAAAACAGUGGUGGAAGAGAUACAUAAGGGAUCGGCUGGCUCUUACAGUGUGAUCAUUAAGGAGAGUGAAGCUUCAGUAAGGGAUUUUGAUACUCCCUCCAUCUAGGUGUGUAAGUCACCUUACGAAAAUCAAAUAGUCCCAAAACACAUAGGCGUGGUGCAUUAACACUCACGUUGUUUCUUGUUUUUGACACAAAUAAAGGAAUCAACCAAUAAGAGAUGUGGGGCGUGUAUGCUUUUAAUGAUUUAAGACUACCAAACAUGACAUGCAGUGGUCAGUUCAUUGCAUGCAAUGGGAUUAAUUAGCAAAUAAACAUUAAGUUCUCUCGUUUUCCUCUCCACCUUGGUUGCGAUGCACAACCUAAGAUGACUUAUUCACCUAGACAGAGGGAGUAGUUGUGUUUUUAUUUUUGAAAGUCGUGUUUUGAAUUUUGAGGCUCAUAGUUUGGUCAAGUUUUCUUCAUCUUUAGCAGCGGGUCGCCAUGUAUGGCUGGGCUUACCCCAUGACCCAUUUGUAAUUCCUGUAAACCGAACCCGUCUUAAUAAAGUGUUGGUUUAAACUCAAAAAAUGUAAAAAAAGUAAAGUUUGGUUGUAUCCGAAAAGAAAACCAACUGGCAGCCACGGGCACAAAACUCAGAUUAAUCUGCCGCGUGCCAUAAAAUAAAAUCUAGUGUUCAUGCCGCAAGAACAUCAUAAUAUCCGUGUUUUCUGAAUUUCACUGAGCUAUUACGUGCGUUAAAACUGAAGUUACGUGAUAGAAGGGCAAAAACAUAAGUGCAGCAAACGCGGUUGGGCAAGACUGAGGGUUUUUUGAAUUUAGGGGCAAAACAAACGGGUGUGACACAACUAGUGGCAUGGAUGUAAUUGUCCCUUUUUAAUAACAUCCUAGAAGCGGACUACAUAUAACUAUAGUAAGUCAUCUAUUUGUACAACCCCAGUUCAUCCUUGCAAGACUCGGUGUUACCCAUAUGGGAUUUGGCCAGCUACACCAAAGCUGUCACAGCCCUAGAAUAUCUGAGUGUAAUAGUUGCAUCAGUGAGCAUGCAUCAUGUUUAAUUCAAGAAAUUGAAAUGAGGAAUAUUCAAAGCCUCAUAAAUUAUUUUAAAAGAAGGGCAAGAACCCUUUAAAUAGCAUUUUGUGAAUCCAAAAUGCCCUAAAAUAGUUUUGUGAAUUUUGGCAAGAGUUAUAUAUCAAACCAAAAUUCUGGAACAUUUUUAAGGAAUCAUUUGGUCUCUGAAUUUAAAUCAAUAAUCUAUUUGAAUUUGGGGAUAUAUUCAUAAUAUAUAAUGAAUAUAUUUUCAAAUGCUUUGAAAUGUUUUAUGUACUUUUGGAAUAGUCCAGAGAGGUAACAUAAAAUAUCUCAGAGUGUUUUGGCACUGUUUUGAAUUCAUUUUGAAUUUUGAAACAGUGGCAAAAGAUUAAAUAAAAAAACAACAGAAACAAAAAGCAAACAGGAGCUCACCUGAGCAGCCUACCCACCUGGCCCAGGAGAGAAGCCAGCCCACUUACCUCCUCGCUCGUCGUCUUCCUCCUGCCAGUAGGCAGGAGCGAACACGCGCGCGCACCCGCGGAGCCCUCCACCUCCUGCUUCGUGCUGGAGGCCGCUCCCUCGUCCUAGUCCGCGCCUGGGGACGCCCAGCACCCCCUCGCCCACUCCCCCGCCUCUCUGGCCUCUCCCCACCGCUCUGGCUCUCUCUCCGCAGCCGCCCGAGCACACCCGCAGCGUGCAGCUCACCGCCGCCGUGCCUAGUGGCCUCCCCUCGCCUCCCCACUUGUCUGGAAGCUCCGCACUCGUCGCGUACGUCAUCUGCGUCAACGCACACGAUCCCGGGAGCCCUACAGUAAAGCCAUCGUCGUCGUCUUCACCGACGGGCACCAAAGAUCGCCGGCUCCGAUUCACCGUCUCCAAGCCGUCCCCAAGCCGUCUGAGAUGCUCAACGACUUCGCUGUGAGGACUCCUUCGUUUUCCCCCUCCUCUCCUGCUCGUUCUCGCACCGUAGCCGUCGUCCCGCAAGCACCAAGCUCCGACCAUCACCAUGGCCGACAAAUCUCGCGCCCCGGAGCUCUUCCGCUCGCUCCAGUAGCUCCCGCGUGCUCGCUGGGUCCCCAGGAUCCCGAUGCGCCCCUCUGCGCUCUGGCUAACACGCCGCAGCCUCGCGUGUGACCGAACUCGAGCUCCGGCCUCUGCCAAAGCUCGUCGUUGCCGCCACUAAAGCCAGCCUCCGCACCUUCCGCAUCCACCACUCGACGCGUCGCAUCACCCUGAGUACGUAGAGCCCAGCCACGCUUGCUCUCGUCGCCGGAGAUGGCCGGACGGGGAGCGCCACUACGUCUCGCUUAGCACCGGCGACUAAUCGCCGUUUAGAUGACAUGGCGUCAUUAGUUUAGAGUUAAGCAUGUGCUUAAUUAGCCCCCCCCCCCCAACACAGUCACUGACACGACGGCCCCACAGAUAUUUAGCCCCGGUUUAAUAUCCACUUAACACUGAGUCUAUGACAUGCGGGCCCCCAAGAUCAGGUUUGACCAGGACCGGGUCUGUUGACCGCUGAUGUCAUCCUGACAUCAUGCUGACGUUGUUACUAUUUUCUGGAAAUUAGAAUAAAUCAGAAAAGGAUUUAUGAAUUUCAGAAAAUACUUCAAACUUCUAAAAAUCAUAGAAAAUCAACCGUAACUCCAAAUGAAAUAAAUUAUAUAUGAAAAAUUAUCAAAAAAAUUCAAGGAAUCCAUCUGUACCAUUUUCAUGCAUGUUUGAACAAUGUUUGUCCUCUGUUUUGGACAAAACAAAUAAAGGGCAUUUAAACAAUCAUAUAUGGGGUUGCAAUUUGAAUCAUGUAUUCAAACCAACUUCAUUUAAAUCAUAGCUAGAUGCAUUAGCUCAAAUCACAGCAUAUUGCCAUGUCAUGAUCAUGCAUCAUAUUGUGGCAUCACAUUGACUGUGUUCUUUCUCAAUUGUCGGUGUUUGUCCCCUCUCGAUAGACGUGGUUCCGACGACGUGAUCGAUGACACCGAUGAAGAGCUAUAAUAUCUUCAGAAGUGCCAGGCAAGCAAAACCCCCUUGUUCAUUCUGAUACAAUCUCACUCUCUCGCUCCUGCUCUCUUUUACUGCAUCAGGACAACAUCGAUUCAACUGUUACAUGCUGCGGUAGUUGAACCCCUUUCCUCUGCAUGACCUCUCAUUGCCAUAGUAAAUAGAUGAAACCCACUAGCAUGAGUAGGAAUUGUUUGAGCCCUGAUGUGCCUACUCAUUCAUGCUUGUUGUCAUGCCUGCUACUGCUUAGAGUUGAGUCCGGUCUGAUUCAUCGGGAAUGAAUUGGAACGUGGUGAACAUGUCCUACCGUUGAGAUCUAAGUGUGUGAACACGAUUUGGUAAAGGUAGUGGUGAGAGGCCAUGUAGGAGUACAUGGUGGGUUGUCUCAUUGCAGCCGUUCUCAGGACUGAGUUCUGUGUUUGUGAUCCAUGCACAGUUACUACCACACAUUGGGUUUCGGUAACUCGGCCCCUCUCAGCUUAUUAAUCAACUCGAUCUCUGUCCAGGAGUUGCAACUAGUUUCUGGUGUUUGUAGGUAGUGUUAGUAGUCUACCAAGUGGCACCCAGUACAGGUGGGCUUGGGACAGACUAGGCACAGUGGCACGGUGUACCAGGUGGCACCCGGAUGGUGGGCUUGGGAACCCUGCACACAUCGUUUGGGGCCGUGAGCGACACCCCGGCUGGAUCUCCUUGCGGAUGGAACCCGAAUAGGCGAUAAACCUGGACUAGAGGCUUGUUGGUUAGUCAGGUCGUGGCCGACUCCCUCGCCCGGCUUCCGCUUGAAGGUUGCCGAGGUACAUGACGUGUACAGGGCGAUAAGUGGCGAGAGCGUGUGUGAAGAAGUACACCCCUGCAGGGUUAUCAUUAUCUAUUCGAAUAGCCGGAUUCCUCGGAUAUGGAAACUUGGACCCCUUGCAUAGUUCAUAGACAAGUGAAAGUGGAUACUCUAAAAAUCGCAAGAUAAGCGUGAGUGCUAUGGAUGGCGUUCUCGCAGGGAGACGGGAGCGGAUCCAUAGUGGUGUAUUGGUAUGGUGAAUUUGUGGACUCGUGUGCGCCACCUCAAAAGAGUUACUUGCAGUCGUAGUUCAGGUUAGCCACUGAGUCAAAGUUGGCUUGCUGCAGUUAAACUCCACCACCCUCUUUGUUGAUACCGAUGCAUAUGUAGUUAGUUCUGAUGUAAGUCUUGCUGGGUACAUUUGUACUCACGUUUGCUUAUUUUAUGUUUUGCAGAGAGACUUCAAUCUUGCUAGUAGUUCCACGUGGGCUUCGACGUUUAGCUUGUUACCUCAGCUACGAUCUUGUACCCUUGGGAGGGUCUGGUAGAUAGUCAGGCUCCUCAGCCUUCUUCAUUUUUAGUUGUCUGUACUCAGACAAGUUAAGCUUCCGCAUGUGCUUUGACUUGUAUGCUCUGAAUGUUGGGUCAUGAGACCCAUGUUUGUAAUAUCUCGCUCUUCGGAGUCUAAUGAAUAAAUACUUGAGUCGUAGAGUUAUGUUGUGAUGCCAUGUUGUAUUUACACAUAUCGAGCAUAUUGUGUGUACGAUUGAAAUGCUUGGUGUAUGUGGGAUCCGACAACCUAGUUGUUUAUCCUUGGUAGCCUCUCUUAUGGCGAAAUGUUGUCUUGUGCUUCCAUGAGCCAUAGUAGUCCGCUACAGCCCGGUUCACUGGAGUCCUGCUAGCCCAGCACUACUGCUCAGGACACUUGACUGGCCGGCAUGUGUUUCACUUUGUUCAUGUGUCUGUCCCUUCGGGGAAAUGUCACGCGGUGACAUCCGGAGUCCUGCCUAGCCUGCUACAGCCCGGGUUUCCGGAGUCUUGUUAGCCCAGUGCUACAGCCCGGAUUCACACGCUGCUGACCAACAUGCUCGAUGUGAUACAUGUAUGCAUGUCCCCAUAGGUUGGUGCCGCUUUGGGUUCACGACUAGCCAUGUCGGCCCGGGUUCUCUGUCAUAUGGAUGCUAGCGACACUAUCAUAUACGUGAGCCAAAAGACACAAACGGUCCCGGGCCAUAGUAAGGCGACACCCGUGGGAAUACCGUGCGUGAGGCCGCAAAGCGAUAUGAGGUGUUACAUGCUAGAUCGAUGUGACUUGGAAUCGGGGUCCUGACAGCUUUGGUAUCAGAGCCUGACUGCCUGUAGGAUUACCAAGCCAAACUGGUCGAAGUCGUGUCUAGAAAUGCUUUAGUUAUAUAAGGGAAUUGAUUGUGGAUGGGAACGUAAGGCUCUUUUUACUCCUUAUCCUCAUGACCUUCUGAUCUGAGUCAUCUUAUCUUUUUUACGGGGUUAAGAACUAGGCUUCUCUUCUAUCUCUCAGGAUGACGUGUUACGAAACCGUAGUUGCCUAGGAUUGUUGAGUUCAAGCCUCAGUUCAGUUCCUACUACCUCCAUAUGUUCAUAGCCGGCCUCAGAACCUUGAUAUUGUGAUAUUGAGUGGUUAUGCCACCAUUUUUGCAGGAUAUCUCAAAUCAUUUUGAGCAUUUACAGCCGUUAUGCUGUCUGGGUCAUUCCAGGUUUCUAACUAAUCUCAUGCAUUUGCAAAUCCUUCCUCCGUUCCCGAUGUACUUUUGGUCAGAAUAAGCACACUAGCCAGAGAGUUGAGGUACUCUGCUGCCUCGACAUAUAUGUUGGAGCUAUUAUUAUGACCCUAGGUGUCUUAGAGAGUCACCUAGUAAUCUAGCAAUGUUUUGUGUUCCCAGUGUGAUGAAUCUGGCCACCAUUCUCGAAAGCAUCCCGUGAUGCCACUUAGUAGUAGGCAUUCUACUCUUGGGUUUUGAACCCGAUAUUCACCCUACUUCGUGUUGUUAGUAUUUGCUAGUUCCCUUAAGAUAUUAGUAACCUUGUGAUAGUCCUCGAGGCCCGUGGUACAUCGUUCUUCCAAUACCAUGAGCCAAUAUGGCAGAAGUUCUUUUGAACCAAAAGAUCACAACUAGAGUGCUCUUGAUGAGUUCUUCAUUCUAUAUUGUGACUCUGCCAAUUCUAUCUCUCCGCAUGGGUUAUCCGGAAGAAACCUGUUGGACUUAGUUCGACAUACUAAUCUAUGCAUCCACAACUCAAAAUGUUAUAUGUUCCUUGAGUUGUUACUCUUCACCUGUAUUCCGACCAUUGUCUAUCAUUCGAUAGUCAAGAGUAUGUCUGCAAUCAUGUUCAUCGAUGGCUAUUAUUCUUGUGGUCCGUCAAGCCGUUCUGGUUCAGCAUGACUAGGAGAAACAAAACUCCAGUACCUCAUCCAUAUCCAGGAUUGGGUCAAAGUAGUUGUAUUUCAUAGAUCAAAAUGCCAAUCCAGCUUUUGCUUUGUUCUACCUUGGAGUGUUACCAUCUUUAUGUCAGGAAUGUCAUGAGAAUUGCGCCGCCUCCUAUGAACUCUUGACAUAGUGAUACUUCUCUCCAUCAUUAUUCAUUCCUCGGUUCCGUGUUGUUGUAACCGGAAUGCCGACGAGUGAACCAUGAUGUGUGAAAUCAAUACUCCUAGCAACUGUGUUUCUUGGUAGUUAUGGACAUUAUUAUCAUUCUUAGCAUGUUGGUUAUCGAAUCACUAUUCUAGGAUUGAUCGUGCUACCUUGUCCUUAUUUCUGGUGCACUAUUCGAUCAAUGAGUUGGGAUUGUGUCAAACCCUUGCUCUAUUGGUCACAUCGUCUUGCCUUGCAAAGCAAGAUUGUUCUCGAGCUUCGUAACAUAUCGAUGGUUCGUGAAUUUCCGAAUAUCUUCUCGGAAGUGUUACCAGGUUGUCACCUGACCGCUAUGUUGAGUUCGUGAUCAAGUUGGUUUCUUGUAAACCACUCCUUCUCCAAGAAUCUGUGUUGGAUACCCCUGAGCUAGUUGGUCAAGCUAAAUAACAACUUGGAGAGUUGGAAGAAAAAAGCUUAAUCCACUUAGUUCACUCCAAAGGGGAUAUCUUGUGUGUGUGUUGACGAGAGAUGAUACCUUCAUCGAUUGUUCCUCGUGAUCGGUUGUUGAAUCUAUCAUCUUGUCCAAACCUUGAUUUGAGUGUGGGCUAUCGUCAAAUCAAGUUAGAGCCAACUAUAUUCAUAAUGUUGUCUUACUCAUGGUUGUUCCUCGAGCAUACACCAUUACAUCCUUUGGUCUGACCAAUACUAUCACAUUGUUCACUUAAUUAUGGAAUUCCAUUUAUAUGGAAACCUGGAUGAAUUGUUGUUGAGCCCAUCGACAACAUCCAUGUCCUCUCCAUGAUUUUGUCGAACAUUAAGCGAGUGUUGGAAACUUUUGAAAGCAUCUCUUCAUGCUAGCUCAUGAAGCAUAUGUUGGAUGAAAGAAGUGACUUCCUCUGAUUCACGUGCAUUUGGUGCAAGUUGCCGCCGUGAGUUCGAGAAAGUUAGUUUUUCUUCCUCUGGAAUCAUCCGAAGUCAGUCAUGCACGUGCGAAGUAUUCCAUGGUCUGAUAGACUGAUCAUCUUCAUUCCAUAUGAAUUCCAUAGCACACUAAGCCACUGAUUGACCUGUUCCAGGAAAAGAAGUUGUUGUGCUAUCCUAGGUCAUGCACAAGAUUUCGAUAUCCUCAAUGAUGGUUCCCCACCAGAACUCGGUAGUGUUUUAUUAUAAGACUACUAUGUGGUCAUACUUGUCUGGGACAACGUGUUCACAUGUUGUAGCAGAACCAACUCAUGUUUUGGAGCUUGCUAUCGCAGUUCAUUCCCCGAGAAUCUCGCAACGUCUUCUCGUCGAUUUGUGUUGCAAUCUCUCAUUUUCCUUUCUAGACUCGAUGAGUCUGGAAUAUCCUGACACCAACCAGAUCUGAAUCUCAGGCAGAUAUGAUGUUUGGAGCAUUUUCCAAGAACUAUAAUUUUGGUCCCUUGAUAACCGGUAAAGUGGAUGUCGUGACCAACACAUCCAGCCGAAAGACCUAUUAUUGUAGUAUCUCGAUUGAAGAAAGUUGGCCACCUCCCCAUGAGGAUUUCGUAGGAUUUACCUCCGUAGUUAAUCCUUACGGAUUCCUGUGCUCCCGAAGUCCGACCUUUUACUUGAUGUUCUAUAUAUCAAACCAUAUCUAUGAAUAGGAUACACUAGCACAUCAAGGAGAACAUUAGAGGCGGAGUGCUAUAUGUCUCUUGGUCGAGCAUCCAGAUUUUGUUCCCUUGGCCUCGCUAAGGUGAAAUCUGAGAAAGUGUUAUCUUCCUUUGCAUCUGCAUCACCCAUCACCAUUCAUCAUGGUGGUAUGUUGUGUUGCCAGGAUCCUUGACACGGAUAUUGGUAAAACCUUGAUGAAUAUGGAGAUGCUCAAGUUCUUGAGAGCAAGCGCAAGCACCAGGUUUUACCGUUGGCGUUAACUGGGAUUUGCUUCCAGUUUCCUUAGUUAUGUUAUAACCUUUUCAAACAGUGGACUCACUCUCGACUGUUGAGUUCUUCCCCAGUUACCAGAAUCAUUCCCAAUGUUUGCAUUUUGUUCCCAGCUUGCACCUCAGUAGUUGUUGUUCAGGAUCAUCUUCAAAAGUGGACUUACCAUGGGUCCCAUCCAUUUCCGAUGAUAAGCAAAAUCAUCCAUUGCAUUGUCUUCAACAAGGGAGUCCACAUCAUCCUUUCUAGUCCAAGUAUGUCAUUCUUUUGAACUCCUUCAAAUGAUCGAUUGUGAUUGCCUUAGGCUGGUAUAAAGAGUUUCAAUGAUCUCCGAAUCAAAAGUAAUUCUUUUUGCCACUUAAGGGAAUAAUUCUACGAGUCGUCGCCCCUGAGGUGCCCCGUUAUGGAAUCAUGGUAAUCAACUCCUCGCUACCUUGAAACCUAUGCACCAUCCUACUCAAGCGUGGGAGUGUUUCCUACCAAAUUGAACUUCCAUCAUUUGUUCUCUCCAUCCCUCUUGAUGUGUGUUUGUCUCUUAGAUCAAGAGAUUAAUCAACGUCUCAUUCCAUGAGUUUAUCAUGUAUCGCUUGAUUUUUGAGAAGAUCGAUUCCUAUAGAGUUUCUUUUUGUCAUCAUCGUGUUGGAUGGAGUUCUCAGAGCAAGACGUCGAGGCAAAGGUAAUGAUCGAAUCAACGUUCUUAUGAAGUGCAACCUGGACCGUGAAGAUUGUGCUAGCUUUGUGUUCCCUCUGUCUUCUUACCUCAUGUCUUGAAUCUCGGGACGAGAUUCUUGUUUAGUGGGGGCGAGUUGUCACAGCCCUAGAAUAUCUGAGUGUAAUAGUUGCAUCAGUGAGCAUGCAUCAUGUUUAAUUCAAGAAAUUGAAAUGAGGAAUAUUCAAAGCCUCAUAAAUUAUUUUAAAAGAAGGGCAAGAACCCUUUAAAUAGCAUUCUGUGAAUCCAAAAUGCCCUAAAAAUAGUUUUGUGAAUUUUGGCAAGAGUUAUAUAUCAAACCAAAAUUCUGGAACAUUUUUAAGGAAUUAUUUGGUCUCUGAAUUUAAAUCAAUAAUCUAUUUGAAUUUGGGGAUAUAUUCAUAAUACAUAAUGAAUAUAUUUUCAAAUGCUUUGAAAUGUUUUAUGUACUUUUGGAAUAGUCCAGAGAGGUAACAUAAAAUAUCUUAGAGUGUUUUGGCACUGUUUUGAAUUCAUUUUGAAUUUUGAAACAGUGGCAAAAGAUUAAAUAAUAAAAAAACAGCAGAAACAAAAAGGAAACAGGAGCUCACCUGAGCAGCCUACCCACCUGGCCCACGAGAGAAGCCGGCCCAGCCCACUUACCUCCUCGCUCGUCGUCUUCCUCCUUCCGGUAGGCAGGAGCGAACACGGGCGCGCACCCGCGGAGCCCUCCACCUCCUGCUUCGCGCUGGAGGCCGCUCCUUCGUCCUAGUCCGCGCCUGGAGACGCCCAGCACCCCCUCGCCCACUCCCCCGCCUCUCUGGCCUCUCCCCACCGCUCUGGCUCUCUCUCCGCAGCCGCCCGAGCACACCCGCAGCGCGCAGCUCACCGCCGCCGUGCCUAGUGGCCUCCGCUCGCCUCCCCACUUGUCUGGAAGCUCUGCACUCGUCGCAUACGUCGUCUUCGUCAACGCACACGACGCCGGGAGCCCUACAGUAACGCCAUCAUCGUCGUCUUCACCGACGGGCACCGAAGAUCGCCAGCUCCAAUUCACCGUCUCCAAGCCGUCCCUAAGCCGUCUGAGAUGCUCAACGACUUCGCUGUGAGGACUCCUUCAUUUUCCCCCUCCUCUCCUGCUCGUUCCCGCGCCGUAGCCGUCGUCCCCGCAAGCACCGAGCUCCAGCCAUCGCCAUGGCCGACAAACCUCGCGCCCCGGAGCUCUUCCGCUCGCUCCAGUAGCUCCUGCGUGCUCGCCGGGUCCCCAGGAUCCCGAUGCGCCCCUCUGCGCUCUGGCUAAUGCGCCGCAGCCUCGCGCGUGACCGAACCCGAGCUCCGGCCUCCGCCAAAGCUCGUCGUUGCCGCCGCUAAAGCCAGCCUCCGCACCUGCCGCAUCCACCACCCGAAACAUCGCGUCGCCCUAAGUACGUAGAGCCCAGCCACGCUUGCUCUCGUCGCCGGAGAUGGCCGGACGGGGAGCGCCGCUGCGUCUCGCUUAGCACCGGCGACUAAUCACCGUUUAGAUGACAUGGCGUCAUUAGUUUAGAGUUAAGCGUGUGCUUAAUUAGCCCCCCCCCAACACAGUCACUGACACGCCGGCCCCGCAGAUAUUUAGCCCCGGUUUAAUAUCCACUUAACACUAAGUCUAUGACAUGCGGGCCCCUAAGAUCAGGUUUGACGAGGACCGGGUCUGUUGACCGCUGAUGUCAUCCUGAUAUCAUGCUGACGCUGUUACUAUUUUCUGGAAAUUAGAAUAAAUCAGAAAAGGAUUUAUGAAUUUCAGAAAAUACUUCAAACUUCUAAAAAUCAUAGAAAAUCAACCGUAACUCCAAAUGAAAUAAAUUAUCAGAAAAACUCAAGGAAUCCAUCUGUACCAUUUUCAUGCAUGUUUGAACAAUGUUUUUCCUCUGUUUUGGACAAAACAAAUAAAGGGCAUUUAAACAAUCAUAUAUGGGGUUGGAAUUUGAAUCAUGUCUUCAAACCAACUUCAUUUAAAUCAUAGCUAGAUGCAUUAGCUCAAAUCACAGCAUAUUGCCAUGUCAUGAUCAUGCAUCAUAUUGUGGCAUCACAUUGAUUGUGUUCUUUCUUAGUUGCCGGUGUUUGUCCCCUCUCGAUAGACGUGGUUCCGACGACGUGAUCGAUGACACCGAUGAAGAGCUAUAAUAUCUUCAGAAGUGCCAGGCAAGCAAAACCCCCUUGUUCAUUCCGAUACAAUCCCACUCUCUCGCUCCUGCUCUCUUUUACUGCAUUAGGACAACACCGAUUCAACUGUUACAUGUUGCGGUAGUUGAACCCCUUUCCUCUGCAUGACCUGUCAUUGCCACAGUAAAUAGAUGAAACCCACUAGCAUGAGUAGGAAUUGUUUGAGCCCUGAUGUGCCUACUCAUUCAUGCUUGUUGUCAUGCCUGCUACUGCUUAGAGUUGAGUCCGGUCUGAUUCAUCGGGAAUGAAUUGGAACGUGGUGAACAUGUCCUAUCGUUGAGAUCUAAGUGUGUGAACACGAUUUGGUAAAGGUAGUGGUGAGAGGCCAUGUAGGAGUACAUGGUGGGUUGUCUCAUUGCAGCCGUUCUUAGGAACUGAGUUCUGUGUUUGUGAUCCAUGAACAGUUACUACCACACAUUGGGUUCUGGUAACUCGGCCCCUCUCAGCUUAUUAAUCAACUCGAUCUCUAUCCAGGAGUUGCAACUAGUUUCUGGUGUUUGUAGGUAGUGUUAGUAGUCUACCAAGUGGCACCCGGUACAGGUGGGCUUGGGACAGACUAGGCACAGUGGCACGGUGUACCAAGUGGCACCCAGAUGGUAGGCUUGGGAAUCCUGCACACAUCGUUUGGGGCCGUGAGCGACACCCCGGCCGGAUCUCCUUGCGGAUGGAACCCGAAUAGGCGAUAAACCUGUACUAGAGACUUGUUGGUUAGUCAGGUCGUGGCCGACUCCCUCGCCCGACUUCCGCUUGAAGGUUGCCAAGGUACAUGACGUGUACAGGGCGAUAAGUGGCGAGAGCGUGUGUGAAGAAGUACACCCCUGCAGGGUUAUCAUUAUCUAUUUGAAUAGCCGGAUUCCUCGGAUAUGGAAACUUGGACCCCUUGCAUAGUUCAUAGACAAGUGAAAGUGGAUACUCUAAAACUCGCAAGAUAAGCGUGAGUGCUAUGGAUGGCGUUCUCGCAGGGAGACGGGAGCGGAUCCAUAGUGGUGUAUUGGUAUGGUGAAUUUGUGGACUCGUGUGCGCCACCUCAAAAGAGUUACUUGCAGUCGUAGUUCAGGUUAGCCACUGAGUCAAAGCUGGCUUGCUGCAGUUAAACUCCACCACCCUCUUUGUUGAUACCGAUGCAUAUGUAGUUAGUUCUGAUGUAAGUCUUGAUGGGUACAUUUGUACUCACGUUUGCUUAUUUUAUGUUUUGCAGAGAGACUUCAAUCUCGCUAGUAGUUCCACGUGGGCUUCGACGUUUAGCUUGUUACCUCAGCUACGAUCUUGUACCCUUGCGAGGGUCUGGUAGAUAGUCAGGCUCCUCAGCCUUCUUCAUUUUUAGUUGUCUGUACUCAGACAAGUUAAGCUUCCGCAUGUGCUUUGACUUGUAUGCUCUAAAUGUUGGGUCAUGAGACCCAUGUUUGUAAUAUCUCGCUCUUCGGAGCCUAAUGAAUAAAUACUUGAGUCGUAGAGUUAUGUUGUGAUGCCAUGUUGUAUUUACACAUAUCGAGCAUAUUGUGUGUAUGAUUGAAAUGCUUGGUAUGUGUGGGAUCUGACAACCUAGUUGUUUAUCCUUGGUAGCCUCUCUUAUGGGGAAAUGUUGUCUUGUGCUUCCAUGAGCCAUGGUAGUCCGCUACAGCCCGGUUCACCGGAGUCCUGCUAGCCCAGCACUACUGCUCAGGACACUUGACUGGCCGGCAUGUGUUUCACUUCGUUCAUGUGUCUGUCCCUUCGGGGAAAUGUCACGCGGUGACAUCCGGAGUCCUGCCUAGCCUGCUACAGCCCGGGUUUCCGGAGUCCUGUUAGCCCAGUGCUACAGCCCGGAUUCACACGCUGCUGACUGACAUGCUCGAUGUGAUACAUGUAUGCCUGUCCCCAUAGGUUGGUGCCGCUUUGGGUUCACGACUAGCCAUGUCGGCCCAGGUUCUCUGUCAUAUGGAUGCUAGCGACACUAUCAUAUACGUGAGCCAAAAGACGCAAACAGUCCCGGACCAUAUUAAGGCGACACCCGUGGGAAUACCGUGCGUGAGGCCGCAAAGCGAUAUGAGGUGUUACAUGCUAGAUCAAUGUGACUUGGAAUCGGGGUCCUGACAAAAGCUGAGGUAGAAUUUCUUCCCUUUUGAUGUUUUCCAAGUUUAUAACACCUAUAUCCCGGCAGCAAUUCUUAUAUUCCGAAGCACAUGUAUCAUCAUCAGUGAAGUAGACACAAUUUGGCUUCAGCUGAGAGAAUUCUUCAGCGCUAAGGUAUUACGACUGGUUACACCCAAGAAAUAGCACUUGAUCAUGCAAGUCGUUUAAUAACACAAGAUCUUUUGCUACCAUGUCAACCUUAUAUAACAAUAUGUUGUUAGUCACAAAUAUGAACUCCUCCUCCUCAUCAUCAUCAGUAUCUUGGAUUUCCGAAUUCCUGUGAACUUGCAGCAGAUCACCGGAUGGAGCCUGGAGAACGUACAGCUGCCCUAGAGUAUAAGUCUUCAUGUCGCUUAUAAUUCUAUUCCUUGUAAUGGUAGGACUAUGGAGAUCAAAUGUAUCGAUUUGUCCAAAGCUCGUGAAGGCAUACAAUAGGCCAUCCAUGUAGAUGCAGUCUUGAUAGUCAUAACCCAACGGCAGCAAGGUCCACUUACAAUCUCCUACCCUUGCAAACGAAAGCUGCUGCGAUUCACUGUGGGUGAGAACCACAAUGUAGCUUCCUGUGGAUGGGUCAGGAAAUAUACGUGCCCUAAUGUAGAACAAGUCACGAAGCUUGUCGAGAGCAUGGGUUGACUUAUGGUGACCAUCCACUUCAUAGUCUAGCUCAAUGUCGUGCUUCAGCUCCCACCACUCGUACUCCUUAAUUGUGCCUGCGUCGUCAAAGACCGGCUUCACCCUCUCGUUGGUGAUCACUGAGGGAGAGCAAUCUGUUGACAGGUGAUCGGAUUGAGAAGGUGUAGCUCGGACUUCUCGUCAGCGGUGAUCAGCCAGCCGUGUGAGGACCCAAUCAGAUAUCUAUUUCGGAUGGGUGGAUCCGGAAGAGUCAGAUUGUAGACCCGCUUUUCCGCGAGGCUGUAGAGACAAGCUAUGUUGUCAGCGGCAGAUUCAGAGGUGUAGAGGAGGCAAGGCAUCUGGGGCCGUUUGUACAGCUCAAGCUCGCUGCGUAGGCUGGUAUAAACAGACCGCCAGCAGGAGCAGACGGAGCCCGCACGCGUGAGGUCUGGGAUCUCCAGGAGGGCGAAGAUAUCCAUCAAUACGUCCCGCGGCAGCUCCGGCAAACUUCUGACCGCAAUCUCAGUCUCCAUCGGCGGUGGGUCUUCUCUAAAUUUCAGUGGUGAACGGGGCAGCUACAGAACUACGAGUAGGUCUUUUGGAUUGUAAUCUGAUCUAGUACAAGGCGAACACACACCCCGGCUGUACUUAUAGGUGCUAGGUGAACCAACCCAGGCCGAACCGAAUAUGAACGGGGGGUGACCUCACUUGUAACCCGAGUAGGAAACGGGGCCGAACGAGAACGCGAGACCCACUUGAGACAGUUGGUGGUCGCUCCUACUCUGGUCACUGCACUCAGCGAGGACCCUGGCACGCCGCACUGUGCAGGUCGCCGGAGUCGCUGGCUCGCUGCUACCAAGGUCCAGUCGGGGGAGGCACAGCGGUGGCUGAGCAAGGAGAGGAUGGGGAGCGCCGGAAGAGCAGCAUGCCGGCGACCUGGAUGGGCGGCGUGCGGCAGCAGCAAGAGGUGGGGGCCGCGAGCUGCAGCAACACUGGGCGACGGGGAGAAGCGACAGAACGGGGCGGCGGCCAGAAGCGACAGAACAGGGUGACGCCUCUUUCAUUUCUUAAGUGAACAAAGCAUAAAUGUGCAGCUCCUAUGUAUUAACAUUUUAUCCUCAAAGAAAAAAAGAAUGAGUUUAAAUGAAGAAAGAACACAUCAUCAAGAUUUGAAAGUAAGGUGUGGCAAAUAAUCGAUUUCAAUGUAAGUAGUGACAAAUUCUCAAAAGUGCCAAAUUUCCGUGUGUCAUGACGGUAACACGUAUGCAUGUGACGGAGUAGAGGGUGGCGGUGCAAGAUAGGGAUGCAAUGUUGUCUGGAGAAAAUAUAAGGAGUAAAAUGCCUGAUAUAUUCAAUGCUACUAGAUACCAUUUUGUUGGGUCUCUAUCCCUUUACAUAAAAAAAUUACUUUGAAAAAACCUUGUUUGGGAGUUAAUCCACCCUCAUCCAAAAAAAUACCUCAAGAAAACCUUUUUUGGGGGGAGUUAACCCACCCUAAUUCUUUCACUGUAGUCUUAUAACUCUUAAAUAAAUUAGGGGGUGGGGCAGAGGUUUGUCUUGUAGCGGGUUCAUCGAUGGAGAACUUGGAUGAAUGGCAAAAGGGAAGGACAUGUUCAUCUCCACAUGGGAAAGCCUUGGUCCCACAAAGGGUAAGGCAUGAGACAAGUUUUCUAUCAAAGUUUUGUUUUAUAUGUCAUGUCUCGCACUAGAUCUUAGGAGGGAUACAACUUAUAUAGUUUCCUUCUAAAGUGUUUGUGUAGGACCUGGGUUAUAUGGACUAGGUGGGGUGUGAAUAGUCCUAUAAAAAUGUCUACUCUAAAUUUUAUUUUGAAAAGGUAUAGCCUUUUUUAUUUGGAACCUUAAGAACACAUACACGUGAAUGUCUACAACAAAGCACAAAUGCAUAAGGAAACUUACAAGAAUGUAAGAGUUAGGGAAAAGAGAUUGCAAGCACUGCUAACACAUCGAUGUUUUUCCGAUGUUCCGAUGGUUAGCAUUAUCCCACUCCUUGUUGGCGGGGGUUGAGACACAAAGUCCUAACACCACAAAUGUCCCGACAACGUAGACCACAAAGAGCCCACAAAAUGCAUUCCCAUAUAUUCCACCAUGGCUUGAUACCACUAAGGUCAAAGUCUCACCCGGGGUUGAUCUUGAAGGAAAUAUGCCCUAAAGGCAAUAAUAAAGUUGUUAUUUAUAUUUCCUUAUAUCAUGGUAAAUGUUUAUUAUUCAUGCUAGAAUUGUAUUAACCGGAAACUUACUACAUGUGUGAAUACAUAGACAAACAGAGUGUCACUAGUUUGCCUCUACUUAACUAGCUCGUUGAAUCAAUGAUGAUUAUGUUUCCUAACCAUAAACAUGAGUUGUCAUUUGAUUAACGGGAUCCCAUCAUUAGAGAAUGAUCUGAUUGACUUGACCCAUCCGUUAGCUUAGCACGAUGAUCGUUUAGUUUGCUGCUAUUGCUUUCUCUAUAACUUAUACAUGUUCCUAUGACUAUGAGAUCAUGCAACUCCCGAAUACCGGAGGAACACUUUGUGUGCUACCAAACGUCACAACGUAACUGGGUGAUUAUAAAGGUGCUCUAUAGGUGUCUCCGAUGGUGUUUAUUGAGUUGGCAUAGAUCGAGAUUAGGAUUUGUCACUCCGAUUGUCGGAGAGGUAUCUCUGGGCCCUCUCGGUAAUGCACAUCACUAUAAGCCUUGCAAGCAAUGUGACUAAUGAUUUAGUUGCAGGAUGAUGCAUUACGGAACAAGUAAAGAGACUUGCCGGUAACGAUAUUGAACUAGGUAUUGAGAUACCGACGAUCGAAUCUCGGGCAAGUAACAUACCGAUGACAAAGGGAACAACGUAUGUUGUUAUGCGGUUUGACCGAUAAAGAUCUUCUUAGAAUAUGUAGGAGCCAAUAUGAGCAUCCAAGUUCCGCUAUUGGUUAUUAACCGGAGACAUGUCUCGGUCAUGUCUACAUAGUUCUCGAACCCGUAGGGUCCGCACGCCUAACGUUUGGUGACGAUCGGUGUUACGAGUUUAUGUGUUUUGAUGUACCGAAGAUAGUUCAGAGUCCCGAAUGUGAUCAUGGACAUGACGAGGAGUCUCGAAAUGGUCGAUACAUAAAGAUUGAUAUAUUGGACGACUAUAUUCGGACACCGGAUGAGUUCCGAGGGUCACCGGAUAUUUAUCAAAGUGUCGGGGGGGGUUAACGGAACCCCCGGGGGAACUAAUGGGCCAACAUGGGCCUUGUGGGAGAGAGAGGAGAGGGCCUAGGGCUGGCCUCCCCCCCUUGGGAGUCCGAAUUGGACAAGGAGGGGGGCGGCGCCCCCACUUUCCUCCCUCUCUCCCUCUCCUUCAUUCCCCCUUCCCCCUUCCUAGUUGGAAUAGGAAAAGGGGAGUCCUACUCCUACUAGGAGGAGGACUCCCCCUCUCCUUGGCGCGCCCCAAGGCCGGCCGGCCUCCCCCUUGAUCCUUUACAUACGGGGGCAGGGGGCACCCUAGAACACACAAGUUGAUUGUUUCCAGCCGUGUGCGGUGCCCCCCUCCACCAUAAUCCACCUCGGUCAUAUCGUAGCAGUGCUUAGGCGAAGCCCAGUUCCGGUAGCAUCAUCAUCGCCGUCAUCACGCUGUCGUGCUGACGAAGCUCUCCCUUGAAGCUCUACUGGAUCAUGAGUUCAUGGGACGUCAACGAGCCGAACGUGUGCAGAUCGCGGAGGUGUUGUACCUUCGGUGCUAGGAUCGGUCGAUCGUGAAGACGCAUGACUACAUCAACCCCGUUGUCAUAACGCUUCCGCUUAUGGUCUACGAGGGUGCGUAGACAACACUCUCCCCUCUCGUUGCUAUGAAUCACCAUGAUCUUGCGUGUGCGUAGGAUAUUUUUUUUGAAAUUACUGCGUUCCCCAACAGGUCUUCCACGAAGAAGGCAAUUACUGUAACUUAUACAAACUUUUCAUUCCUUCACAUGUUGAAGGCUCUCAAAUGACUCAUAACCAUCUAGGAGGUCCACACCCUCAAAGAGUAACAAACUAAGCAAAAUCACUUGGAUGAACUUCUCAAAAGAUCUUCAAUUGACUCUCUCAAGAACACAUAAGGUCACUCUCACACACAAAGCUAGCUUGAAGCGAUGAGAGAUGGAGCACAAAGGCAACGAGUUCAAGAAAGGGAGGAGCAUGGCCUUCAAUCUCUCAAAGUUCUGCUAUGAAAGAUGUUUCCAAGUCUCUCCGAAACAUGCAAUCAACUCAAGGGUUAUGAGGAUAUAUUUAUAUGCAAAGAGAGGGGGCAGAGAGAAGAAAUCUAACCAUUACUUGAAAAACCUAACUAGCCGGAAAGCUCGGGAAGAAGGACAUCGAGGGAGGUGGCAUUGUCCUUAUUGGAUGGUAGAAGAGAUUCCCGACGAAGGUGGACAUGCUCGGGAUGGCUCGUUCGCAGGUGGGCAACAAGGAGUCAUGAGUGGCUCCUAGAGCCUACCGCUCCCCGCCAUUCUUCGGCUCCCGUGCUCCUCUGGCUCUACCGCCCCUGCCUAUGUGUUUCUGGUAACCUCCUGGAUCUAGCGCCCCUCUUCUAUCUCUCCCUCUGAUACCCUAUAUCCCCACCGCGCCUAGCGACGCCCGCCAACCGCCACUAGAGCUCAACCUCAACCCGAUUCUGGCAACCCUGAGGCCUUGCAAAUGCAUCCCGCUCCGUGGUAGCAUCUGUGUGAGUUCUCGCACCUCACACACAUUCCCCUAGCAUGUUCCCGCGCUGCUCCGCCAUGUUUAUUGGUCGCCGACAUUCAAAUAGCCAGUGGGACCUUGCUAGGUGCAUCCCAUGCAUUAGCCACGGAUCACUUGGCCACAUAUUAAUUAAUCUAGUAAGACAAUUUCAAAAUUCUCCUUUUUCUUUUUUAGUUGCCCGUAUGUGAGCGACAUAGGUGGGGUGGAGGUGUUUUUUAUUUUCUUCUUUCUAGGUAGGUCCCAUAUGUAGUACUCCUACCUUGAGACUUGAGAGGCUUAGAACAACUACAACUGGUCCCCUCAAAUUCUCCCCCAAACGGUCUAGGAGGACAUCUCGAUCACUACCCGACAUAAAAGAGAAGAAAAAAAGUCAGUCAACCGGACCCCCCCCCCCACUUCAUCCUCANNNNNNNNNNNNNNNNNNNNNNNNNNNNNNNNNNNNNNNNNNNNNNNNNNNNNNNNNNNNNNNNNNNNNNNNNNNNNNNNNNNNNNNNNNNNNNNNNNNNNNNNNNNNNNNNNNNNNNNNNNNNNNNNNNNNNNNNNNNNNNNNNNNNNNNNNNNNNNNNNNNNNNNNNNNNNNNNNNNNNNNNNNNNNNNNNNNNNNNNNNNNNNNNNNNNNNNNNNNNNNNNNNNNNNNNNNNNNNNNNNNNNNNNNNNNNNNNNNNNNNNNNNNNNNNNNNNNNNNNNNNNNNNNNNNNNNNNNNNNNNNNNNNNNNNNNNNNNNNNNNNNNNNNNNNUAGGUCCCAUAUGUAGUACUCCUACCUUGAGACUUGAGAGGCUUAGAACAACUACAACUGGUCCCCUCAAAUUCUCCCCCAAACGGUCUAGGAGGACAUCUCGAUCACUACCCGACAUAAAAGAGAAGAAAAAAAGUCAGUCAACCGGACCCCCCCCCCACUUCAUCCUCAUAUGUCCGGGCAUUCUGCAAACCCUCAUACCCCUCCUAUACAUGGGAAGGAUAUGGGAUGCCCAGGCGCGGGCGGUCAAUGUGCCAUAUAGGAUUUGGCCCGGGCCAUCUUUUCUUUUUGUAGGAUCGAAAGUAUGUCUAGAGGGGGGUGAUUAGACUACUUGACCAAAUAAAAAUCUAGCCUUUUCCCAAUUUUAGUUCUAGGAAAAUUUUAGCAACGUAGCACAAGUCAAGCAAUCAACCUACACAUGCAAUUCUAAAAGUAUGGCAGCGGAAAGUAAAACAAUUGCAUAUGAAGGUAAAGGGAGGAGUUUGGAGUGUGCAAACGCAAUUGGAGACACGGAGAUUUUUGGCAUGGUUCCGAUAGGUGGUGCUAUCGUACAUCCACGUUGAUGGAGACUUCAACCCACGAAGGGUAAUGGUUGCGCGAGUCCACGGAGGGCUCCACCCACGAAGGGUCCACGAAGAAGCAACCUUGUUUAUCCCACCAUGGCCUUCGCCCACGAAGGACUUGCCUCACUCGGGUAGAUCUUCACAAAGUAGGCGAUCUCCUUGCCCUUACAAACUCCUUGGUUCAACUCCACAAUCUUGACGGAGGCUCCCAAGUGACACCUAACCAAUCUAGGAGACACCACUCUCCAAGAGGUAAUAAAUGGUGUGUUGAUGAUGAACUCCUUGCUCUUGUGCUUCAAAUGAUAGUCUCCCCAACACUCAACUCUCUCUUACAGGAUUUGAAUUUGGUGGAAAGAUGAUUUGAGUGGAAAGAAAGUUGGGGAAGGCUAGAGAUCAAGAUUUAUGUGGUUGGAGUGGGAUAUCUGGACCUCAACACAAGUGUAGGUGGUUCACUCUUAGAAAAUAUAUGUUGGAAGUGUAGGCAUGUUAUGAUGGCUCUCUCCAUAAAUGAAGAGUGGGUGGAGGGGUAUAAAUAGCCUCCACACAAAAUCUAACCGUUACACACAGAUCACCAAACUCAGUGGGACCGAAUCAUGAAACUCGGUCAGACCGAUUUAGUUCAAAAUGUGAACGUUAGGAUUUUCGGUGGGACCGACAUGUCAACUCGAUGGGACCAAUUUUGUUAGGGUUAGGGCAUAACGUAAUCUCGGUGAGACCGAUUACACAAACUCGGUGAGACCGAUUCUGGUAAUGGACUAACAGAGAGUUGGUCAGGCAAACUCGAUGGGACCGAUUCGCUCAUCUCGGUUGGACCAAAACGUUACGAAAGGGAAACAUAGAGUUUGCAUUGUAAUCUCGGUGGGACUGAUCGCUCAUCACGGUUUGACCGAAACGUUACGAAGGGAAACAGAGAGAUUACAAUCCCAUCUCGGUGAGACCGAGAUCCCUAUUGGUGAGACCGGAAAUACUAGGGUUUCUGGAGUGGCUAUGUUAACUGAACUCGGUGGUGCCGGAUAGAAAGUUUCGAUGGGGCCGAGUUUGAAUUUUGGUUUGGGACAUAUGUGGAUGUGAUAAAGUAGUUGAGGGCUUUUGGAGCAUAUCACUAAGCACUUUGAGCAAGCAAGCCAUUAGGCAACACCUCAUCCCCUCUUAAUAGUAUUGGCUUUUCGUAUGGACUCAAUCUGAUCUUGGAUCACUUAAAAUGAAAAGAUGUAGAGUCCUGAGCUUUGAGCUUCAGCCAAUUCUUUGUCCUUAGAAUUUUGAGGGAUCCACUUUUCUCAUCCAUGCCAUGCCAAUCACUGAGCUUUCCUGAAAUGUUUAUCUUUAAGUAGCAUUAGCUCAAUGAGUUAUAUGUUGUUAGGAAUUACCAAAACCAUCCAGGGAUAGUUACACUUUCAAUCUCCCCCUUUUUGGUAAUUGAUGACAACAUAUAGAUCAAAGCUUCGACAAAUGAUAAAUAAGAUUAAAAAACUUCAUCGCUUUGAGAAGUAUGUGAUAAGCAAGAGCUCCCCCUAAAUUUGUGCAUUACUUAAAAUUUGCUUUUGAAUGCAAAUGCACAAUCGAUUAGGAUCAUGGGUUACUCUUCCAUGUCACAUACAUCUUGGUGGAGCACUCAAAAUGAUAGAGAUUAAAAGCAUGCACUCAUCACCAAGCUAGUGAAUAAUAAAAUAAGGAUAUAAGAGAUGAUAUUAUCCAACAAGCAUUAAGGAUAGCAUAUGAUCAAACACAUGAUCAACAAGUAUCUCACAAGGACAAAAAGUAUCUCACACAAGUACUCAAUAAAGAAGUUCAACCAAAAUAGCAAGAGAGAUAAAAAGAACAACUCUCUCUCUUGAAGCCUAUGAUCUUGUCGGCGUUCUGGGAACGGGGGUCCCCAGACUUGCCUGCCUGCGGCCUGCGGCGUGGCUCAAAGGGGGGGGCCCAGCGCGGCCCAUCUUCACCAACACAAACCCAAGACCCUCGCGAGGGGCCAAGCCUCGUGGGGCAGACGACGCGGAGCUUCCUCAGGCACGGCCUCAUCAGGCUGGCUCACGAGGAGGCGGAGAGACCAAGGCAGGAUGCCUCACGAGGUGCCUGUGACGCAAGCCAUGAAGACCGAGGGCGCCAGGCGGGUGCCAGCCCACGCAGCGUCCUCCUUUCCUCUUUGGUGCAAAGGGGGCAAGCGCAGCCGCGGAGUACCGAGGCAUCAGGCAAAGGUUGCCAUUUCGGUGCAACGAGACCAAGACCAGGAGGACUACGAGAUGGAGGUCACCGUGGAGCCCAAGACAGCGUCAUCACCAGAGCUUUGCGCAGGCGAAGACUACUUUUGUCAGGAUAGCUGAUACUAGCUGUCCCCCUUCAAAUUAGCCCGCCAUUGUUGGCUCCCUUCCCGCUCGAUAUUUGGGAAGAGGACCAGGGCCUGUAUAAAUAGGGUCAGCCACUCGCAAGAGAGGGAGAGGAGAAAAAAGAGGGAAGAGAAGGGGGUUCGAAGGAAGAGGCUCUUUAGAGAGGGGUUUCCAUCAGAAAGAGAGAGAGAGAGAAAGGUGACUGAACUCCUCCCAGCAGUUCAUCGCCCCAGCCAAGAACAGAUCCUCGCGAGAUUGUUCUUCCUUGUGUUGUUCAUCAUCAUCAGCCCAAGAGGCAAUCCACCACACCAUACACUGGAGUAGGGAAUUACACCACAACGGUGGCCCGAACCAGUAUAAACCAUGUGUCUCUUAUGUUGUUCUUUCCUUAGUUUAGAUCCUAGCAAGGCGGAGGGGUGCAGGUAGGUAGGAGGCGAAAUCUCCGCGCGCACCCCAGUGUUCGAACCUCAAGGGUCUGGCGGAACCCGAAAUCCGACAUUUGGCGUGCCAGGUAGGGGUGCGCUGGGAUUCGUCUUCCACCACCCCGUUCUCCUCCGACCAUCAUGCCCAUGUCUAAUGCUCGUCAGGCCCGCGCCGAGCACCGGGCCGCGCUCGCUUCCCGCGUCACCCAGAUGGCCUCUGUCGGCGGGCGUCCUCGCCGUUCCCCGUCACUUGCCGUCAAUGCCGCCAUCGGCCCAGCGGGGGACGAGCAGCAAGCAUCGUCCCAGCAUCCGUCCGUGCGGCAAGACGGCCGCACCUCAACUCCCUUGCUCACCCCAGCUGGUUCUUCGUCCCGCGCGCUCCGCGUGCCCAUGGAGGCUCGGGCUGCACUCAUCGCGGCAAACGAGCUCCUGCGCUACCGUCCCGUCGACGACGUCUACGAAGAAUGGCUCGACCGCGUCGCCGAGCUCGUCCGCGCCGCAGGGGGCUCUCCUGCGCCGUCCGUUCCGCUGCACCACACCCCGCCCCGCGCGGGCGAUGAAGCUCCGGCGGCGCCCCGGCCGCCUCCUCCUCAGGACGGCGCCAUGGCUCCAAGGCGCGUGGCCCCUGGGCGGAACCCGCUCUGUCAGGUGCCAGCGCGGCAAGAGCAGAGCUGUCAAGAAGUCCCUCGCCCGCAAGAAGCUGCCCGGGCGCUCCCUGCUCCAGCACGUUGCGACCAUGCUCCUGCUCCCGCGCGUCAAUACCCUGCGCUGCUCCCAGCUGCAGCGCGUGGGGACAUGCAAGACCAAGCUCCCCAUCAUCCAAGGCCUCCCGUGGCCACAGCAGGCUGACGUGCCUUCACCGCCGAGCUAUGCAGCGUCGCGUGGCCCGGCAAGUUCAAGCCGGACUUGCCUCCUCGCUAUGACGGCACGGCUGACCCUGCGGAGUUCCUCCAGCUCUACGAGUUGGGCAUCGAAGCUGCCAACGGAGACGAGAAGGUCAUGGCGAACUAGUUCCCCAUGGCGCUCAAGGACGGGGCCCACACCUGGCUCCUGAACCUGGCUCCAGGCACAAUCUCCUUCUGGGACAAGAUGAGCACCCGCUUCAUCGCCAACUUCCAGGGCACUCGCGACCGGCCACCCGCCGUGAGCGACAUGCGCCGCAUCAAGCAACAGCCCGGGGAGACCCUGCAGAAGUACAUCCAGCGCUUCAACAACGCAUGCCUCAAGAUUCCCAAGGUGACUGAGGAGGCCAUCAUCUCGGCCUUCUCCGACGGCAUGCGCGGCAUCAAGAUGAAGGAGGAGCUGGCGAUGCAUGAAGACCUGUGCACUUCCUUGGAGCUGUUCAACCUGGCAACCAAGUGUGCCAGGGCCGAGGAAGGGCGUCUCUCCCUCCUCGAGCUGCCUGCCGCAGACCCAGAAGAGAAGAAGCCCAAGGCCAAGGAUGUGAAACGCAAGGGGGCUGCCGUGCUCGCGGCAGAACCAGACACCAAGCGGGGCAGAGAUCAGCCCGAACCUUCCAAGGGCGGCCGGUACUGUGUGUACCACGACCUCCACACCCACAACACCAACGAAUGUCAAGAGCUCCGAGCCGUGCGAGAAGGAAGGAUCGGCCGUCGCCCUGACCGCGGUGAGGGGCUACGGUCGAGGAGAAGGAAGGAACGCAGGACGCUGGGAAGACCGUGGCCCGCGCCAAGGGUGGCACGAUCAACCUCGCGAGGAUCGCUGGCAAGACCCGCCUCACAAGGGAGGCUGGAGGGAUCAGCCUCGCGAGGGAGACUGGAGGGAUCAGCCUCGCGAGGAUCGCCCGCAAGGCAACGCAGGCCUCCCACCGCUGCCGCCGCGGCCAAGGAGAAACGAGGACCGCCACCAGGACGAGGGGGCUGGGGGCUUCCAGGAGCCGCGCGUGAUCGCCUACAUCCUGGGCGGGGCACAAGCCCCAGCCUCUCAGCGCAUCUUCAAGCAGUUCGCCCGUGAAGUGAACGCAGUCCUCCCCAGGCUCGAAGCCAUGCGCCCUCUCAGGUGGUCGGCGUGCGCCAUCACGUUCAGCUCAGCAGAUCAGCUCAAGUGUGCGGCUACAGCCGGAGUCCUCCCGAUGCUUUGUUCCCCAAUCGUCAGCAAUGUGGUGGUCACCAAGACCCUCAUCGAUGGCGGGGCAGGGCUCAACGUCCUGUCCGUGGAGACAUUCAACAACCUCCAAGUGCCCUACAGCCAGCUUCAGCCAACCAAGCCUUUCUCCGGUAUCACCGACGGCUCCACAGUCCCGAUUGGGUAAGUCCGCCUCCCUGUCACCUUCGGGGCAUGCGACAACUACCGCACCAAGCUCAUCGACUUCGACGUCGCUCACAUUCGCCUGCCGUACAACACCAUCCUUGGGUACCCAGCUCUGGCCAAGUUCAUGGUCGUAACUCACCACGGCUACAACGUCCUCAAGAUGCCCGAAAGCGGCGGAGUCAUCACGGUGCCCUGUGAAGAGAAGGACGCGGUGUGUUCUCUAGAACGAGUCUUUCCGGCCGCGUCACUGGAAGACCCGGAUCGUGGAAGCAGGAGGCCUCCCGAGACCGCCCCUAAGAAGAAGACAUCGUCCGGCCCGACCACUCAGGAGGCAGGCCCCACUGGGCCCGCACCUGCCCAGGGGGAACCUCCUUCCAUCGCAUAGGAAAGCGCGCCCGGCGCCCUCCUCAGGCAGGGCUCGGGGGCUCUCCCCUGGAGGGCCACCGACCUAGCUAGGGUCACGAGGGAGGCGCUUGGGCACCACAUGGAGGCGUGUUUCGAAGCACGUUUCCCUCAAGAAGGAGCAAGGCAAGGAGAUCCAGACCCUCAGGAGUUCGUCAGCAAGGCCAUUCAGGAGCUACAGGAGUCAAGAGUCAUGAAAGGCAGCCGCCGCCUACCAGCAGUGGCUCCCCAUCCAGGCGAGGAUGGUGGGCUGCGCGUCUACAUCGACAUACCAGGGCUCAACCGAGUCGCCUCUCUGGAGCGCCUCUGGCCCUCGCGAGUGGGGCGCUGCGGAGGCCCACCCCAUAGCUACGUUCGCAUGCCUUACGGCUUGCCGAGCGCGGCUGACAUGUACCAGCGCCUCAUGAGGGGCAUCACGGAGGCACGAGAGGCCAGGCGUUCCGCAGCCCUGGCAGGGAUGGAGAUGGCCCGCGAGGAGCCGCCAGCGCCUCCGGAGCCUCCCGAGGCCCCUGGGCCUGGGGGCUCGUGAGGAUCGGCUCCCGCAGCCCACCGAGCUUGCUACACCAACGCUCCUUCAUCCUCAACAUCAUCAGGUGACAUCUUUCGAGUUUUAUUUCCAGCUGGGAGCUCCCCCCCAGGGCUGCAUUAUUCCCAGGCUGCAUGGGUCCGUCCCUGCGGCGUGUAUCCCUUUUUUAUUCCAUGUUGUUAGCUUACUUUGUUGGGGGCGCCCCUCGGGCUGCAUGAUCCCCAAGCCGCUCGGGCCAGGCCCAGCGGCAUGUAUCCCAUUUGCGUUUAUUUCCGAUUAUGCGUUAGACCCACCAUGCUUGAUUAUUUGAUGCCGGUCCACGGCACCUCUUUUCUCCAUGCCGACCACUUGCAGGUUAAAGGGGGGGUACCUGAGCAUCGCGACUCAGGGCUCUUACUGGCUCCCCAACCCUCACCUUCUGGCCUUGUCCAUGGCAUCGCGACCUGGCAUACCAGCGACGGCUGAGACCAGCUCGAGGGCCGGGACCCGAGGACGUAGAGUGCCGACAUCUAACCAAAUUUGCAGGGACACAUCACAAGAUAAGGCCCAGUGCCAGGCGCAACCCGCCUAGAGGUAGGGCCCCAUGAUUCCCGCGCUGGCUCACGGGUGCCCAGAUACACCUCGCCAGGCCCUACCGUGCCAGCCACGUGUCAGGGCGGGGCUGUACACGCCCCGGGGGCUCCUCCCGGAGGGGGGGGGGCCUCCCACGUACCAGUGGAAGCACCAUGCUCCGCGCUGGCUAACGACACUGCCGAGGAGCGGCUAUGCCCGUACACAUACGGUAGCGCUAUGCUCCGCGCUGGUGAUAAACAACUGAGGGUGGCCCCAGGGCCGCACCAACCUCAGGGAGCCCAGAGCUCAGUGUCUAGCCUCAUCGUAACGCCUCCCCUCGGGAGUGCCGCGCGAGGGGGCUGGGCACGGGGGCUGCGCCUGGGUCACACCCAGACGCACGCCGCCCAGCCAGGUCCCCCCGGGCCUGGUUCGUCGCGCGUCUCUCCCCGAGCGAAGCCAAGGUACGAAGGCCGUUUGAGCGUCAAGGGGGACUCCUGAGCAUCGUGACUCAGGAGCCUAACUGGUCACGUAGCCCCUCACUCCGUCGCCCCGUCCUGGUUUCCGGUCGGGACCAACGCUAGGUGAGGCACGCGCGCGGCCGGGCUUUGCAGACAUAGAACGAUAGAUCCACCCGCAUCACACCUCCUUACUUGUUGUUCGUGCGCCAAGGGGGACUCAGGAGCCUAACUUGUCACGUGGCCCCUCACUCCUUGGCCCUGUCCUGGUUUCCGGUCGGGACCAACGCUGGGUGAGGCAUGCGCGGGGCCGGGCUCUGCCGGCGUAGAACAUAAGCAAGUAGGAAGGAAAAGCGCAAAUUUCAAGGAAUUCAAAAGCAAAUAUUACAGUCCACACUGUUAUCUCAAUGCCAAACACAAGUUUAAAUGCCUCCCCGAGGCAUGAUACAUGUGCAGGAAUUAAAGGCAGGACAGGAGCCGCGAUGGAGUCACUUGUCGGCAGUGGAGCAGCGCGGAUUGGGUACGCCUCGCGGAGCGGUGGGGUCAGCAGCGCCUUGCUUCAGCUUGGUGCUGAAGGCCCGGAACUUCCCCAGCAGGGCCUCUGUGCGACCCUUCACGGCCUCGGCAGCGGCAGCGGCACGCUCGCCGCUCACUGGCUCCAGCAGGCUGUCGAGGUCGACACCGGGAUCGCGAAGGUAGAUGUGGGUGAGGACCCGCGUCAAUGCUGCAGAAGAUAGGACACGCGCCUCGGCCUCGGCCGUGGGGCCAAGGCCAAGGGCGACAUCUUCAAGAGCGUGAACCAGGAAGGGAAGCAGCUUGGCGGGGCCAUCCUCGGCGCCAGCCAAUGGGCUCUCUAGGCCGCUGUCGUAAAGUGUCCUCAGUGAGGAGCGAGCCCUCGCCUCCAUCUCCGUGAAGGCCACGCGGUCCUCGGCAAGAACUAGGGCCUCGUCGUCCAGCUUGGCCUUCCUCGCCCCCAACUCCUGCUCCAGCGUGCCUAGGCGGUCGCGGCGUUUCCUGAGCUUGACCUCCCUCUCCUUGACAGCCGCCUCGCGAGCCUUCACGCCUUCUUCCUGCUCUUGGCGAAGGCGGACCUUGCUCACGAGCUGGUCCUGCAAAUCUUGCAGUUCGCCCUCCAGCGCCUUGCAACGUCCACGGAUGUCGACCACCUCCCCCAGGGCUGCGUCAUGAGCAGCCUUCACCUCAAGGACGGCCUGCUUCUCCUCAUCGCAUGCCGUCGAGGCCUGGACCAGCGCCGUCCGAAUCGAAGCAUCGGAGUGAACCCAUCCUGAAGCCAGCUCCAAGCGCCCGGCCACCAAGCGGGGGUCGGCGCCAAGAAGAUCCUCCGCAGUCGGUCCAGCUCAGCAACAGCACGAUCCAGAACGGCAGAAGGAGUUGGAGAGACAGCAGCCGGUGGAGUAGGAGGAGAAGGCGGCAGCGCGGCCACAGCAUCCUGAGGCGGAGUCUGGCACGCCCCGACAGCUGUAGUGGCGGCGGCAGGCAAGAGCACCUCGGGAGCCACUUGGGCCGUGGGGGCUGAGCUUGCCCCAGCCGGCUCAGCCAGGCCUCGCGAGGACGACCGGGCAGGGGAAGCCUGUGCGUCGCGGUCACCCUCCUUCGCGGGCAGAGGCGCUGCCACGGAUGGAACCUCGGGAGCUCCCUUCGGCUUCUUUGCUGCGGGCGCCAGCCUAUCCAAGAGAUGCGGACGUCAAGCCUCAGAAGCAGAGCAAGAAAUAAAGGCAAGAAUCGAAUGCUUACGGGUCGUCGCCAGUGAGCUCAAGUGGCCUCCGGCAAAAUUUGAAGCCUGAAAGCCGGCUGGAAGGAUCAACCUCGGGAAGCAUGGAGGCGGAAGGUGCGUCUGCGGUCCGCCCCGGGGCCGGGGCAGACCCGCGGGAGAUCAGCCCGGUCCUGUCCUUCUUCGGGAUCGGGGGCGAGCUCCCGCCGUCCUGCUCGUCGUUGUCCUCGUCGUCAUCCUCAUCGUCAUCGCUCGGAGAGAGGCGGAGAACGCGGAACCUGCGCUGGGGAAGGGAGCCCUUGACUCUCCGUUAGUCGCCUCGGAGUCAGGCCCUUUUCCCCGCUCCCCUCCUUCCUCCUCUUCGCUGGAGUCGUCGGAGGGCACGUCCACCGGUUCCUCGGGAGUUUCCAUGGGCACGGGCCCAUCCCCGUUGAAUACGGGCAUGGACUCCACUACCUGCUCCCAGUCGUCGCGGAGGAACAAGGGCGUAGGAGCGCCCGCCAACCUCGCCAUGUCGCCCCCGACCAAAGAUUGGAGGACCGCAGCCAGAUCUCCGUUGGCUAAGGCCGCAGGGCUCGGAUGGGGCCUCCACAUCGGAAGUGAGUACUGUCGAAGCGGAGCCAGCUGGUGCUCCAGGAAUUCCCUCAGCAGCGACACGCCGGUCAGCUCCGCCGCCGCCAUAUUGUCCAGCCUCAGAUACGCGUCCAUCUUCUCCAACAUCAGCUUCGCGCGGGGGUCCAUGAGCUCUGCUCGACCCCAAUCGCUGGAGCUUGUGGGCUGCUCCGUGGGCAAGAUCAGCCUAGGGUGGAUGCGCCCAGCAUCCACCAAGACCCACUUGCUCCUGAAGCCCUCAAUCCUUUUCCCGGGGUUCAAAAUGGCAAUGGCGCCACCAUACGCGAUGAAGCUCGCGCACGAGGAAGCAGUACCACGAGAGGUCCGGAGGUAGAAGUAGUGGCGCAGCAAGGCCACUAAGGGCUGCACCCCUACGUGAGCCUCGCAGUAAUAGGCAAAGAUUUCCAGGAGAAGGACGGAGUUGGGGUGGAGAUGCAGAGCUUGCAGCUUAUAGUGGCGGAGGACAGAGAGGAAGAACUCGGAGAAGGGAGGCACCAAGCCAGCAGCAAUGGCACUUACGAAGAGCGGAUAGAAGGUGCUCCCUUGACCCUCAGGGGUGGCGGAGCCGGCUUUAAACACCUUCGCCCCGUUGUUGCCCCGCGUCGUCGCCAUCCAGCGCAAUCGGGCAAGGCUCGCCUCCGACACGUUCGGCGGGUCCAGGGUAGACGAGUACCAAGCUAUGGCCGGGGGCUGACGAGGCGCCAUGGCUUCCUAGGUCACACGGUCGGAGUGGAUCUGGAAAUUUUGGAGGAAGGAAGGAGAGGCGCAAGAAAGGGGAUCUGAGCAGCAACCGGGGAAAGCAAGAAGCAAAGCCUAGGUGGAUGCCGCUCCUUUAUCAACUCACGCGGUUGCUAAGGCGCCCACGUCCAAUCAACCGCCAUGCGGCGCCCAAGGCCGCAGGUUGUUAGGGCCCGCGACGCUUCGCUCUUGCCCUUCCGCCUCCCUGCACGGCCAAGCCCGGGCGCGCCUUGGGCCCGGGGGCUACUGUCGGCGUUCUGGGAAUGGGGGUCCCAGACUUGCCUGCCUGCGGCCUGCAGUGUGGCUCAAAGGGGGCCCAGCGCGGCCCAUCUUCACCAACACAAACCCAAGACCCUCGCGAGGGGCCAAGCCUUGCGGGGCGGACGACGCGGAGCUUCCUCAGGCACGGCCUCGUAAGGCUGGCUCACGAGGAGGUGGAGAGACCAAGGCAGGAUGCCUCACGAGGUGCCCGUGAUGCAAUCCAUGACGACCGAGGGCGCCAGGCGGGUGCCAGCCCGCACAGUGUCCUUCUUUCCUCUUUGGUGCAAAGGGGGCAAGCGCAGUCGCGGAGUACCGAGGCAUCAGGCAAAGGUUGCCAUUUCGGUGCAAUGAGACCAAGACCAGGAGGACUACGAGACGGAGGUCACCGUGGAGCCCAAGACGGCGUCAUCACUAGAGCUUUGCGCAGGCGAAGACUACUUUUGCCAGGAUAGAUGAUACUAGCUGUCCCUCUUCAAAUUAUCCCGCCAUUGUUGGCUCCCUUCUCGCUCGAUAUUUGGGAAGAGGACCAGGGCCUGUAUAAAUAGGGUCAGCCACUCGCAAGAGAGGGAGAGGAGAAAAAAGAGGGAAGAGAAGGGGGUUCGAAGGAAGAGGCUCUUUAGAGAGGGGUUUCGAUCAGAAAGAGAGAGAGAGAAAGGUGACUGAACUCCUCCCAGCAGUUCAUCGCCCCAGCCAAGAAUAGACCCUCGCGAGGCUGUUCUUCCUUGUAUUGUUCAUCAUCAUUAGCCCAAGAGGCAAUCCACCACACCACACACUGGAGUAGGGUAUUACACCACAACAGUGGACCAAACCAGUAUAAACCCUGUGUCUCUUGUGUUUUUCUUUCCUUAGUUUAGAUCCUAGCAAGGCGGAGGGGUGCAGGUAGGUAGGAGGCGAAAUCUCCGUGCGCACCCCAGUGUUCGAACCUCAAGGGUCUGCUGCAACCCGAAAUCCGACAGAUCUAUACAUUUUGCUCCCCCUUUGGAAACAAGUUACCAAAAAGUUCAAAAAUUCAUAGUGCUAAAUGACUCUCGGGCUUGAUUUUCGGAAGGUGGUGUAGAGAGAAAUCCAAAGACGAAGGCUUUCGAUGAAGUAGUUGGAGUUGAUGGAGUGGCUACUGGAGGUGGCACUGGAGCUGUGGCUGCUGGUGCUGACACUGAAGCUCGAGCAUCUGAGACUGGCACUACAGAAGACCUUGGACCUCAUGGCACACGCUUGAAAGCAUCAGUAGUUGACUUGCCCUUCUUCUCCUCUACUUCCUCCUGAAGUUGCUCAACUGCAGUCUGAAUCUCAGUCACCUUCAGAUCAAGAUCAUAGAAUUUUGUUUCCACAAUCCUCUCCAGGCUCUCCUGAUUCUGAGUCAGGGUGGCCAAGCCCUUCUCAAUCCUCAGUGUAGCUUGAAUCAGAUAUCCAACUUGAUCUUGCUUGCUCUUUAGGAAAACCUGAGAUGCCGCUUCAGCAGUUGGCAUCCUUGCAGCUUUCUCUGCCCUUGCCUUCUCUCUCUUCUCAUGUGCUUGCACAGAUGAUGGAUCUUCCUCAGUCAUUACAACAGUAUUGUCUUCAAAAUCAGGGUAGAUGGGCAGGUGCUCCUUAUCCAAAAGAUACUUGCCUGUGCCCAUCUUUGAGUUGAUGAGCUCCUAAAUUUGUGGGGCAUACCCACAACUCCUCUUCUAAUCAGCUGUUUUCCUUUUGAUUGUCUCCAUAAUCAGACUCAUGACUUUAAAUUUUUGAGGCAUAUCAAACAAAUGUAGCAAGUUGAUGGCAUGUCCUCUGAUCAUCUUGUGAUCACCUAACUUGGGUAGUAGUGUGUGUCUGAGGAUCCAAUUUAUAGUAGGCAGACCAGACAACAAGUAGUGGACAGAUCCAAACUUGUGAGUAUCCAAAGCAACAUCUGGGGUCUCUUUGUACAUGUUGGCCAUUGUGUUGUGGUCUUUCUUAUUCUCAUCAUAUACAUCCAAGUCAUCUUCAUGCUCUACAGGGGCAUUAAUCAAUUGAGCCCAUUCAUCAACAGAAGAUUGGUACCUGGUACCCUCAGACAUCCAAAUGAUCUUCCCAUCUGGAUAGAAAUAGGCAGUGGAGUAGAACUGCAUGAUCAAUUCAUCAUUCCACUUGGUGAGCUUCUGGGCCACAAAGGUAUCAACUCCACAUGCCCUGAAGCUGUCAUAGAAACCUGGAUAGUGAUCCUCAUUCUCCUUGAUGUACUACCAGUCAACCCAUCUGAUUUCACACACAAUGGGCUUCUUGUCAAGCAGGAUUGUCUCAUAAAAGUCUUGCAUUUCCUUGGUGUGAAAUUUGUAGUCCACAAUAGUCCUCCUCCUGACAGCAUAUGGAUCGGAUUGUCUCCAUAACCUCAGUCCUGCAUCCUUACUGAUGUGCAUGUCUUCUGCCACAGGGUGAGUAUCAUUAUGGUUAGGAAUUUUGGGCUUCAACUUCCGCAGAACAUGGGAUUCAUCAUCCUCUUCUUCAGCAGCUUCAGGCACUGGGGCCUUGUUUUUCUCCUCGGCAGGAAUGUUUCUAGUGAUUCUCUUGAGUUUAGGCUUCUGAGCUGGAGCAGUAGCCUUGGGAGCAACUUUGGGCUUAGAUGGAGAAGCCCCUGAUCUGAUUGCAUCUCCCAUGAGCUUUUAUGCUUUGGGUGCUGGUGCAACAUCCUAUUCCUCUUCAUAUGAGCCUCUCAUUAUUGAUGAUCUGCCAAGCACUCUGGCAGUGGUCUUCUUGACCCUUUCCUUCCUUUUCUUCCCUUCUCCAACUGCCUCUUCAGUUGGCUUGGAGGUUUCAGCAGUGGAUGCUCUGGCCUUAGACAUAGGAACUCUCUUUGCUGGUGCCUUUUUAUGCAUCCCUGGCUUAACUGUAGCAGCUGAGCCAUACUCCUUUUUCAGCAUCUUUUUCUUUGAAGUGGCCUCAUCCUCAACAGCCACAUAAUCUUCAUCCUCUGAAUCAGAAGUUCUCUUCUUCCUUGUUCUGGUUGUUGCCUUUCAAAAGUUUCUUAGAGUGCUCCUGCUUCCAUCAUCAGAAGAGCUGGAGGGACUAGUGCCCUCACUCAUCUGGACCUGUUCUUCAGAUUUGUUCUGGCUGUCACUUUGGUCAGACAUCUUACAGGCAAACUGUCAGCAGACCCUAUGAAUAGAUUAUAGAUGAGGUAGAGAAGAUGAGCAUCACAAAGUAAAGGAGUUUUGCAAAACAAUUGAGUCAAAAAGGUUAGUUUUAGUUCUCUACAGAAGUGAUCUCGAAGACUCGGUGAUACCGAAGCAACACUUGGAACCUAAACUAGUGAACUCGGUAGGGCCGAGUCACAGUUUGGUGGCACCGAGAUUGCUAGGGUUUCACAGAGUCCUAAACUUGGUCACACUGAUUUGCGCGUUUCGGUCAGACCAAAGAGCGCAUGUGCAAUGGCCAAGGCCGAAUCGGUGAGACCGAUUUCUGCAGUUCGGUCGGUCCGAGAUGAGCUCUAUGGAGAGCUAACCCUAAAUUUUUCGAAUCAAUCUAGACCUAGGAAGUUUUAGCUGGAUGGAUGAAUCUCAAUCGUGGCAAGAAACAUGGCAUUGUCCUCGUGCUAGGAAUCGGAGUGAAAAAGACAGCACAAGGGAUCGAACACUUACCCUAAUGCGGCGGGUGUUCGCUACGGCGGCAAAGGUGGAGCAGAUUGCUGUUGACGGUGGUGGAGACCAGCAGUGGGAGGUCGCUGGCGGCGAGAAGACGAUCCGGAGACCCGAAGAGGCAGAGUAGGUUAUGCACGGGCGAAGGGUUUCGGAAAAAUUUCCAAAAUUUGGCCCGUCGGUAUAUAUAACCUGACCCUGUCAGUGUGACCGAGUGGAACAAUUCAGUGGCACCGAGAUGCAAAACUGCAGGCAGUUACUGCAACUCGGUGUGACCGAAAGGUUCUAAUCGGUUGCACCGAGAUUGAAAACCUAGAUUAACUAAGUGAUCUCGGUAGGACCGAAAAGGAUGAAUCGGUCAAACUGAAAUACACAAAGAGGUUUUGGAAGUUUAAGUCUAUGACGAAUCGGGAACUCCGAGUGCUCCUCACACAGAGUGGUUCGAAUCUGACUUGAUCAAACUUUAUGAUGUAGCAUGAAUAGAGUUUGAGACGAGAAAAGCAUAGAUAGCUAGAGGGAGUUCUUAGGCAUUCUUGUCCAUCCAUUUGGCAAAAGAGAAAAAACCAAACAAUCAAAGAAACAAAUGGAUGUCCUCGAAUGAGACAAAUAUGCAUUCAACAUGCUCACACAAUUAAAAUGGAAAAAUGAAAUAUGUGACGAAGCAUGCACAAACACUCUAGCAUCUAUCAAGCAAUUGGCGAUGACAAGGUCAUCUAUAUAUGAGUAUAUUGACUUAGGAGUCAAAUGAGAACAUUUGAUCAUAGGCCAUACUCAUCAUUUAAGCACAAGUGGGGUUACCACUUUUACAUAGAGCAAUGUUGUACUCACACCAUUAGAGUUGCUUUAACUCAAUUAAUUAGAGUAAAGCUCCCCCUAGAUGUGAUAUCCCCCCCUAAGAGGGAUCAAUUAACCUUGGGUUUUGUUGAUGAUGACUUCAUGUAGGUGUUGAAGAUGUGGAUGCUCAAUGUUGAUGUAGAUCAUUCGGAGCAAUCCUUUGGAGUGAGUUGCACUUUCAAUACCUACAUGGGUUAGUCUCACAAGGAACAAACAAGGAUAUCCAUAGACAUAGAGUGAUGUGUACACAAGAUGAUGUCCAUGGAAGCAUUAGGUUACCUUGUCCCUUGUCUUACCAACAAGAGGGUUUGUGACUCCUUGAACUAGUGCAAGAUAUGGAAGUUGUUUGCACUUGUCCUCGCCAAAAUGAUAUGAGUGAAGUAUGUUGGCGGAGUCACCCUCAAGAACUCUCUAGUUCUUCUUCUUCGGGAUCCACACCAUCUUGAUGGGAAUCCUUGGAGUUGUAGUCGUACUUGAUGAAGUAGAACUUGACGUAGUCUUGGGAACCCACUUGACCAAGGCCUUGGGUGCUUCCUCGAUUGCAUCAAUCUCCUCUUGAAACUUGUCCUUGCCUUUUUGCUUGUGGUCUUGUGGUGGAAGAUCAUCUUGAGAUUGUGUUCCUUUAAAAGAACUAGGUCAUACUUCUCUUAUUGAGGAACAAACUUCGUCUUGGGGUAUUGAUCUUCUUCCCACUCAACUCCAUUAGCAUUGAACUUUCGUUCAAAACCAACACCUUGAUUCUUCUAGUGUCUUCCUUGCUUGCGUACAAUUUCCUCAAAUUGCUUACUUCUGGCAAGGCUCUUGUAAACACCUUUCUCUAUAAUUCCCUUCAAUAAGCUAUUUUCUUGCUCAGGUGUAACUUGGCUAAGAAAAUUAUUAGUGGAAUCAAGAGAGCUACUAGAAGCAACAACAUUGGAUUUAGCAUGAUUGUUGUUACUACUAGACGAAGAAUCUUUCUUGUUUUUGUUGCUAGAUUUAACUUGUGGCAUGU
rnacentral:lncRNA from 1 species